rnacentral:lncRNA from 1 species
AGAGGGUGUCAACCCCAGCAUACUUGCAGGACUUAACAUAAACAACUCCUUGAACUGCGACAAAGCUUCUAGGAAAGGGGUGAACCGGAACAACCGGAGGUUUAACAGGAGGGUGAACCGGAACAACCGGAGGUUUAACAGGAGGGUGAGCCGGAACAGGAGGUUUAACUGGAGGGUGAACCGGAACAGGAGGUUUAACUGGAGGGUGAACCGGAACAGGAGGUUUAACUGGAGGAUGAACCGGAACAGGAGGUGGAUUAACAGGAGCAGGAGGGUGAUGGUGAUGGUGGUGAGUAGGAGGCUUAGCAGGGGCAGGGGUAGGAGGGUAAUUGUGGUGAGAAGGUGAAGGAACAGGUGCUGGUGCUGGUGCUGGUGCUGGAGGGUGGUGGUGGUGGUGGUGGUGGUGUGGGUGAGGAGCAUUUGCUGGUGGGUGAAGAGGUGCUGGUGUGGGGGAGUGAACAGGGUGAGGGUGAGGGUAAGAGGGUGGAAGAGUUUCAAGUUCAAGCUCUACAGCAAACACAUUACUCACAGCUACGAGGAGAAACAGCAGCACUGAUGCCAAGGCUUUGGCCAUUGCUUCAAGCAAGUGAAGCAGAGAGAGAGAGAGAGAGAGAGAGAGAGAGAGGAGAGGAGAGUUGUGUUGGUAUCAUAUGAGUAUGGCAGUGGUUGAUUUAUAGGGGCUGAUGCCGGGAUUCUCUGCGGUUUUUGUUCAUAUCUAUACAAAAAAUUAAGGAUGUAUUCGUUUGUAGAAAAAUAUAAUUAAAAAUAAAUUAUUAUAUUUUAUUUUAAUUCAAAAUUUUCAUGUUAUAUCUUAAUUUUUUUUUACUAUACCAAAUAAAUCAUAAUUGUGAAGAAAAAAAAAAGUUUUUGCUUAUUAGAGUAACUAGUGCUAGCUAGCUUAGGUUUGCGUGAUGAUGGCAUCAGAGUGGAAAACUAGGGAAAUGGUAAUGUGAGGAAGGUAAAUUUGAAAAUCAGAGAUCCCAGGCUGAAUUAAAUGGAUCUAUGAGUCUGUGAUAUAUUACUGCUAGCCCUACGCUGAUGUUAACAUAUUAGUAGUAUUUGGGUAGUAUAGUACUCGUGAGACACAUUAUUAAUUAUUAAGUGUGUAUAUGAUUUUAUAUGGAAGAAUUGAUUUUAAGUUUAGAAUUAAUUUUAAGUUAAAAUAAUUUUAAGUAAUUUUUGUGUUAGAUAAAAAAGUUAUAUUAAAUUUUAUUUCUUAAAUAUAAAUUAUAUCAUUUUAAAAUUAAUUUUAUUCAAACUUAUUUUUUUGACGUUAAUCCAAAACUGCACAAAAUACAAAUUUUUUAAAAAAUAGGUUUAAUUAUAAUUUACUAUCUUUUUUAUGUUUUUUUUUUAAAUUUUGUCACCAAAAUAUUACGAAAUCUGUGCAUUCUGUCUCUACCUCCUAUAUUAAAUCUAAGCAUUUUUGUUUUAAAAUUGGAUGAUAAAAUAUACAAAAUUGUAAAAGUUAAGUAACAAAAUGUGUCUGAAGAAAAAAUGAAUCACAAAAUGAGCGAUCCAGAUUUUGAAAGAGUUGUGACAAUAUGUGCAAAAUCUAUAGUUUGAUAGCAAAUUUGGCAAAAGCAAUUAAGGAAAAAAAAGUACAUGAAUUUUAGUAAAUUUUGAACGGUAAAUAAAAUAUUUUAUAAAAAAUUGUCCAAAAAUAUAUUGAUAGGCUUUUUUUUUGAAACUUUGGUAGUUGGUUUUUGACACUUGUGUAAAAUUUGACUACCUAUAAUCAUAAAACUUUUUUAUUUAACCAUUUUAUAAGUGUUAUGUUUCUAUAAAAAAAAAAAAAGACAUGACAAAUUAUUAACAAAUUUGAUUCUUUAAAAGAAACAACUCGCACUUUUUAGUAUGGAAUUGUGUUAAUACAAUUAUAAUUAAGAAUACGCAAAUGGCAGAAUGAAUGCACAUGCAUAGGUGCUUGUUAUUGCACUUCUUACAAGGCUUAUGUAGAAGUUUCCAAGGACUUCGGUAAUAGCUUUGCGUUUUUUUAUUACUGGCUUUGAGUUUCUGAUAUGGCAUUUAUUAGGGAAGAAAACAGAAAUGACUUGAACAAAAAGAAAACCCACGAAAAGGUCAAAUUUUAUGAACACGAAAGAGGCGACAUGGAAUGAUGGAUAGAGAAGGCCAGAAGGGUUAGUAGCACUUUAAUGUGUUUUAUAUUGGUAAAAUCAACCCAUUUUUUUUGUUGAUAAAGUUAGAAAUCGAAAUAACCGAACACUUACAAAUUAACUGAUUUAAUUAAAAAUAUUUUAUAAAAUUAAUUAAUAAAUAUCAAAUGACAUAAAAAUAUAUAUUUAAUAAUUUUAAUAUUUGAAUUUAUUUGUAAUAACUUUUUAAUAUCAUCUCAAAAGGUAUGACUAUAAUUUUGUAUUACAAAAGAUAGAAUAGUAAAAAUUUGUGAUAAAAAAGAAGAAAGUAACAAAUGCUAUAAGUGAAUUAGUGGUUUUUUUAUUGGAAUUCAAAUAUAGAAAUGAAAAUAUAUUAAAAAUAAUGUAAUAAUUUUAACUAGAAAUAAAAAUAUGGUAGCCUAAUUUAUCUUUUACCUUCAUAUGUUCAAAUGUUAAAAUGAAAUAAUUUGUGUUAGAAUAAUUCUAUUUUAAAAAUAAAUUAGUAAUAAAACUUAAUGUAAUGUUUUAUCUAAUACAAAUUUAUUUGUUUAACCUCAAAACCAAUUUUAAAUUCAACGUAAAAUCAAAUAUCUAAACAUAUAUAACUAGAAUUACUUUUGUUACCAUUUUAACAUCAUGCACUAAAUGGAAUUGUACAAAAACAAAAUCCAGGUUAUGCAAUUGUCAUUAAUGAUAGUUAAACCUUUUGUGCAGACUCCAAUAUAUAAAUUAAACUUUGUUCAUUCUAAACAAAAUAUUAUUUAACAACUUCAAUAAAAAUUGAAUUUAUAUAAAUAUCAUCCUUACUUUUCUUCGUUUGCACCUCAUUUUCCCGUAAAUUUUGAUGGAAAAGGACAUUAAUAUAAGGACAAAAAUUGUUCGGCCACGAACGGUCUAAAAUAAAGCCGUUUGAACGUAUAUACAGUAUUAUCCUGUCCACCUUACAAGAAACACAAUUAGAACACAAAUUAGUUUUUAUUGUUAACUUUUUUAGAUAAACGUUCUUAUUGUUAUUUUAUUUCUUCGAGUUUCGUAAAAGAAACAUCUAAAUAGAUAUAUUUUUUGUUUUUUUACUGAAUAAAUGUAUUAUUUAUUAAGAAGAUUUAGUUGGAUUGAUUCAUCAGCGCGUGUAAUAUAGUUAUAAUGGUUAAUUAUUUUUCUUUUUAAAAAAAUCAACAGGAUAAAAAGGAAAAUAAGUAUAUACUAGCAUUGAAAAGAACAGAAGAACCAAAAUAUUAUUUUCGAUAAUGUAACAAAAAGGAUAGUGAUACGCUCCUAUUGAUUAAGUUUCUGUAUGCAAAAUCAUUGAGCCAUGCUGCAGACAUGUUCUAUCUUUCUGGGUUAGUGAUGGGCACAUCUUGUGUGCUCCCCCAUUAAUAAUAUAUUUUCUUUGCUUCUUAAAAAAUGCUACUUUUAUUUAACAAUUUAUCUUUUUUACAAAUUAAUACAUACUACAAUCUAGUCUAUUAUAUUGCGUAGUUUAGGGUUUUUUUUUUAAUUUGUUUACACAACUUAACAUUAUUUUAUAGUUUUGAACUUUCAUUGUUUAUUGUUCUUAUUAUGGGUAAAAAAACAAAAAACUUAAACAUUUAUUAAUGGAGAGGUAGAGGUAAUGAUUAUUCUUUGUCAGAUUUUGUUAAUCAUUGUCCUAAGGAAAAAGGAAAUAAAAAAAAAUUAAUGUAUAAAUUAUAAAAUAGUGUAAAAAAAAUCAUGAAAAAUAUGGUGUCAGCCUUCUUAAUUUCUUAACUAAUAUCUUUGAGACAUUUAUUAGCAUUUGUUUUAGUUAUAUAUUUAGUAAACAUUUAUUAAAUUUAUUGGAGGGAACUCCAAAAUAAUGCACAUUAAUUUACUAAAUGUAUUAAGACAUGGAUCCCGUCCGUGAAUCCUGGUGCUUAGUUUGUUGUCAUUUGCCACUACAUUUUAUGCUCAAUUUGUUUAUAAGCUUGCCAUGCCCAUCUGAUAACAACUCAUUUCCACUUUUUGGAGUUACAUACAAGAUUGCCGUCAUUUAAUUUUUGAAAAUUUUAUUGAUUAAGUAAGGUUUAUCAUCAAUUUGAUGGAACAUAUAUAUACUAACAUUUCCAUCUAAAUUCUACAAUUAUUAUUAUUAUUAUUAUUAUUAGUAGGAUAAAUUGUAAUUUUUUUCUCCUUUAUAUUUCCAUCUAAAUUCUACCUAUGUUUAUUUAUUUUAUUUUAUUAUAUUUUAAUUAAUUAAAUUAUUUUUAUGGUACCUUAAAUAAAUAUGUUAGGUCUAAAAUUUAAUUGGAUCAAAAUAAAAGAAAUAAAACAUAUACAAAAUUGAGAAAUGAACCUAAAUUAUAAAUUUUGUAAAAAAGUGGACUAAAAUCACAUAAAAAAUUAAACAAACUAAAAUUGUAACUUAUUAUUAUUAUUUUAUUAUUAUUAUUAUUUGAAAAUCAAACAAUUCUCAAAGUCAAAAACAUAAUUCGCGUGUUUUUUUAAAAAAAAAUUAAGAAUAAAAUUCAUUGAUAUAAAAGUAUAACAACCUUGAUUACCUUUAACCAAAUAUAUAGAAACUAUACACAUAUUUCCAAUAAGUAAACUAACAUCCAAACACAAACUUCACUAACCACAACCAAACCACAGAAUUACAAUUUACACCACUCUGAUGUUUUUUUUUCUCGGUUAUUUAGUUUAUGCUUUUAUUUAUUCUUUAUAUAUGUCCCAUUAUAAUGUAAGAAGAAAAAAUAAGUAUUAAAGUAAGCCUUGUUUUAGUUUUUUUAAUAUAAUAAUAACCACUUUUUCCUACUAAUACUCGUAAUAAGUAGUAUUAUUUUAACUUUUCAAUGUAAUAUUAGUCUAAAUUAGUCACGUACAAAACUUUUCAAGCUCAUUAACAGCACCCCGGAUACACAAGGCUAAAAUUGAUUAUCAUGUUGCAACUUUGAUCAUCAGAAUCUGAACAGAUUGAACUUCCAAAAUUGCUCUAAGAGUCUCAUUUCUUGUUGAAGAAGCUAGAUAGUUGACUACAAAAAUGUAAUCAAACCACUAAAUUAAUGAAGGCAAACAUAAUAAAAAAGAAAUUCAUGUCACAAAGUUUUAGGCUAAAACCUUCACAUGGAACAAUCAAUGCUAUCUUCUAGAUCUGUUUUUGAAACUUCUCAAGCAAACAUAUUAAACUUAGUUGGAACUCAUCAAAUACCACAAGCUGGAUAAAUUCAGCUUCAUCCCUACCCAUUGCAAACUAGAGAGUUAAAAAUUUUGACUAACCCAAAUUGUUUGUAUGGGCUUCCUGGGCUGAUUGUUUUGUUGGGCCUACAGUUUGCAAUUUUGCACCCUGUAUUAGUUUGUUGGUGUUGAAAUUUAGGAUGGAGAUGAAAAAAUUAACUAGUUGGAUAUAAUUUUAAGGACUGAUAAAAUUAGAAUACUGAUAUAAUUUUAUUGUUGUAAAAUAUAGAUUUUGUGGCUAAUAUCAGAGCCUUAGAGCUGUACUUCCACACUUUACAAAUGAUAUACCAAUUUUUCUUUAUAAACCUUUUCACCUUUUUAUUUUUCAGAUGUUUCACAAUAUAUAGUUUUUUUCACCUUUUUCUUUAAGAAUAAUUGAAUUUUUUAUUUUUUUUUUGCAAAUAACAGUAAUGAAACAAUAGUUUUAAGAAGGAUAUAUAAAACUGAUCAACAAUCUUACAAGUCUUAUCAAUUAUCUGGUGGGCGACAAAGGAAAACCAAAAAAAGAAAAAACAAGGAACAAAAUCAGUUCUUUAGAAAACACACCCCUGGUGCUUUGGUGCAUCCGCAUGUAACCAAGUGUCAUUAAUCUUUUCUUAUAAAUUGAAAAGCUUAAAUACAUGUCACCUACGUAUAAAUUGGUUGGAACUAUGGACACUUGGUAGUCUGGAUUACUUAAUACUAUUUUUUUGCAAACAAAAGAGAUAGCAAUUAAUCCAAUGUGAAGGGAAGGGGAAUCCAAGAACAUGAAGCUCUGCCCAGAAGUUUAAGAACCCAUGUUUUUUGCCGAGAUAUCCGCAUAUUGAUUUCCUUCUCUAUGGAUAUGCUGGAUACAAACUAUAUUCCCGAUUAUAAGUUGUAACAUGUCUCUGCAGAUUGAUAAAUAAUGGCAGCAAACAUGUUAAAAGGUUGAAAAUUGCGUACCAUUACAAGGUCAUUCGGUUAAUGCAUGGUUUUAUAGAAUUUUAUAUAACUUUGUUAUUAUAAACAAAAUAUGUAUCUUACUAGGUACGUACUGUUUCUUUUGAUUAAGAGGACUAUCAACAACAUAAGCUAGCAUAUUAGUGGUGAGGGCUCUCAGGCUGCCACGUACGUAGUAGGUCUUUGCGACCACAAGGGCAAGGCUAAAGGUGGAUGUGUGAAAAGAGGUUGUUGGGGGCAAGAUCUGAGGUUGGUGGCAUUAAGAAUUAAUUAAGAUGGUGUAACGUCCCUCACUCUGGAAUCUUAAGCUCUUUUUUCUUACGAGUUUGCAACCCAAAAGGUCGUUCUUCAAUUCUUCUACAUGAGUACGUAGGACAUUAGAGUUGAGCAACAUUAUGUAUACUUCGAAGGUCGUGUGUAUUUUACACCAAAAACAAUUUUACUUGAUGAACAGUAUAAAAUUACUAUGAUAAAACUUUUGUUUUAAAUGAUUUAUUUGAUAAUUGAAUUAAAUAAUUUAAUUUAAUUAAAUAAAUAUUUUAAUGAAAUAUUAUUAUAUUCUUCACUGAAAAUAAGGAUAUAAUUAAUAUAAAUAAAAAGUAUUAUUUUAUAAAUAUGAAAAUUGUUCAUGAAAUAAGAAUAAUUAAGAUUCCACUGUGACAUGCCAAGAUCAUAUUAUGUGCUUAGUUGUAAAAAAAAAGUGAGAUAGUUUUUAUUUUCAUAUAUAAAAAUAAAGGAAUAUGAAAUUAUUUUAAAUAAAAUCUCUUUUUUUAAAAUGUCUAAAUUUGUAUAUCUUUAACUUUAUACAUAAACAUAUAUGUAAGAACAAAAUGUACCACACAAACUACAAAAAUUCAAGCUAAAUUUUUAGAUCUGAAAAGUUAAAAAAAAUAGUUUAUUCUUUAGAAUUUGACUCAAAGUGUUUAAUACGUAGAGUCUAUGUAUUAUUAUUAAGAAAAAAUUUGUAUAUCUAUUUAUCGAGUGUAUAAAUUUAUUUAUUUAUUAUUAUUGUAUAUUUUGAAGGUAAAAUAAAUCUUAUUUUUUUUUAUUAUAAGUGUUGAAAAUACUUCUAUCUAAACAACCGAUAUAAAUAUCUUGGGUUUCCUCUUUCCUUGGUGCCAAUUUAAUGUAUUGAUAUAAUUAAAUAAAAAUCACAGGCCUAAUGAAAAAUCAUUAUAAUAACUAAUGAACACAUGCAAGGGAAAAAUAUACAUAAUUAGGAUCGAGCUAUACAAUAUACGGAUCAAAAUUAAUAUCGACACACACAUUCACUAAAAUGAUAAAAAAAAUACCUAAAUGAAUCGAAAGCUGCAGUUAUAUAUCAUAAACCUAAACGUUGUUCAUUUUCAUCAUAUAUAGAGAGAGCGUGACGUAAAAGAGAUAUGAUCACUUACAUCAUUUACUGACUUUUAAUCAGAUACUUUUACUCUAAAAUAGAUAUAUAACCAUAUAUACUUGAAUUGAUAAAAUAGUAGAAUUUAUGCAGUUUCUUAACAGAUCUGCAUUUUCCAAAAUGCAAAUUUGGCAUGGAAAAACCCUCUAAUUUGUUUAGGAAACAGAAAGAGACCUGGAACAAAAAUAUCGAUUCAUGAAUUAAUUUGCAUGCAUCUUCUCUGGAUUAACAAUUAUUGUCAACUACCAGUCCUUCGUUAUUCUGUUAAUUCUUUCUUUCCCAAAAGAGACUUAGAUAUCAAUAUCAUCCAUUAUAUAGAUAUAUCGUAUAUGAAAUCGGAACACAUGUUUAAUAUCCAAACUAUAGUAACAAACUAAACAACCUUUUCAUCAGAUUUCACAAGUUCUAUAUAUAAACAUACAAGUGCGUGCUCACACCCACGUAAAUCGAUCAAAUCUUAAUUGUGAAGCCAACGCAAGACAGUGAAUAUGAAAUUGCUUACUAGAUAAAACGGUGGUAUAGUAUCCUCUUGAGAAUAUUCAAUUUAGAUUUCCACCAACAAUUAAUGCUAUCAGCCAUUGAAAUACUUCUUUAAUUUCUCAGAUAUCCUCAAAGCUCCAUUUGCAGAUUCCCCUACCUGAAAAAUGCAAAAACAAUAAAGUUACAUAAAAUUCAUAGGGCAGAGGGCAGAAAGGGGAAUUUAUGUUUCACCUGAUGACAGUGUAUUGUAUGAAAAACUUCAUUUUCAACAACGGUAUAACUGGCAUUAACAACAUCUGAUCCUUCUUCUUGAAGAACACGAACGGUCUCAUUGAACAUGAAUUGACAAUCCAACCCAGUUAUUAGAAAAACCUCUAAAGUUGAACCCAUUUGUUGGAUUUUAAAUUGUGGAGACUUCAACAAUCCCAUAUUCAUGCUAACAUUUUUUGAUCUUUUAAUGUCUAUUAGGUUGUUCUUUUUCUCCUUCAUUUUCUCUAAUUUAAUCUGUAAAUUCUUUAUGUAAUUUGUGGCUUCACCUAUCUGAUCCGGCCGCGAAAUGGCCUCCUACAAAAAGAUUCAAAUAAAAUUGAGACGUUUGUGUGCAUAUAAUAAUAUAAGAGCAGUUGGUUAAGUAAUUAUAAGAGAAAGAGAGUAAUAAUACCCUUGAGCUUUGAUGAGGCACAACUGAGUUGAGCUUGAAGAAAAGAUCCUUCAAAUGAUUUCUUCUAUUCUGUUCAAUGAAUUUUCUAUCAGUUCUUGAUGAUGAACUAGGGUUGUUCUCCAUUAAUUAAUAUCCCUUAUGAAUGCAAUAGCUCAUCCGCUAGAGAACUCUGAAUACUCAUCAUUGAUUUCAUUAAAAUAUAAUACUUUUCAGACAAGGGUUGCAAGGUAAUUGGAGUUUCUCGUGGCUUUUAGAAAAGCUAGUUAGUAUCAUUGGAUGCUACUGAUAAAGGUUCAUGUGAUAUAGAUGUGGUGGGGCACCAUUUUGUCGGAUAUAUAUACAUUUUUUUUCCUUUUUUGGUUCCUAUGAUGAACACUAAAUAUAAAUGCCCUAUCAAAAUCCACCAAUGUGGGCUUACUAAUUUUGGACCUCCACCAAUGUUAAAGAAAUAUAUACACAUAUAACAGCAAUUUAAGGAUUAAAAUAUUUCUUAUAUUCUAUUAAUAUAUUAUAUAUUCGAUUUUUUUAUUGAUGAUAUAAAACAACAAUGUAGGAAUUUCAGCUGUAACAGUUUUUAGGUGUAAUAGAUAAUUGAAACUGGCAUUUUACGUACUGCUCUGAAGUAGUUAAUGACUUUUUCACUUAUUAUUAUAUCAGAGAUUAUAAUUUUAAAUAAUUACUAUAUAUCUAAUAUUUUAUUGAUACAUACAUAAAAAUGAUAUUGUUGUACCUACAAAAGAAUAAUUAGGUAAUCUUUCUUCUUGCUAACUCUUUGUCUAAGGUCUUAUGCUUCUAGUGAUUGAUGCUUGACUGUAAAAGGAAGGAAACUCAAGUCGGAUUUCAAAUAAGAAUAAUAAACAAGCAUAUUUAAUAUGUUAUGAAUAGUCUUUCCUUGAUAUUCUCACAUGUAGUUAUACAUAUUUUAAUGGGUACUUGAACCUAUGGGCAUGAAUACUUAUGUGUUUUAUAGAUACUUUCCUGAUUCAUAAUCAGGUACUCUGUUAGACUGAGUACUUGGAUACUCUUUAGGAAUAACUUGUUUUCUGUGUGUUAAGGUUGAAAGAUAUUUACGACUAUUCGGUAUGAUACAAUUGUGAUGUACAAUACACCAGAAACAUAUAUAAUAUAAAAAAAACUAUCCUCUAUUAAUGCACAAAAAAAUCAAAACUUUAAGAUUAAUUUACAUCCGCUAAUAUAACGCAAAUUAUCAGUAUAAAUAUUAUACAUGGGUUUGUAUUUUAUCAUUUUUUUGAUAACGAGUGGUUGAUUAUUAUGAGAAAUAAAAAAAUAAUUACACUAUUACAUUUAAUUAACUCUUCAAAUAAUGUAAUUAAUAGAUUAACCAAUAAAAGGUGGUAUAUAUAUAUAUAUAUAUAUAUAUAUAUAUAUAUAUAUAUAUAUAUAUAUAUAUAUAUAUAUAUAUAUAUAUAUAUAUAUAAAAUAAAUAAGAUGUUGCUUUGCAUAUAUAGCUAGCUAGGUUGUAGUGAGAACUAGGAAACAUUAAGUAUGAAAGUAAUAAGACAAAUGCUAAUCACUUGAUUAAAUUAAUUCAUUAUGGUAGUGAAAGUAAUUAAAAUUUUGCGAAUUUCACAUAUACUUUAUUUUAUUUUUCACGACAAUCAAAUCAUUUAAUUUUUUUUUUAAAAAAAGUAUAAUUUUCCUCCUCAUUUUAAUUUUUUCAACCCGAAGACAGCAUAACAAAAAUUUUAAUUUCGUACCCGAGGCACAUAUACCCCAUGUAAGAGGACGAUCACCCCAUUGCUAAGGAUAGAGUUGAUCAGCAUUACUCUGAGACCAUGGGAGAUGGAGUAGUGAUCAACUUUUUUUUCCCUUUUAGUUGGUGGUUAGGGGAGAGUGAUGGGAGGUAUCCUAGGGGAGCCAGAAGUAAAGCCUUGUUUUAGAGUCUAGGGUUUAAAUCCAAAAAUAAAGAAAAAAAAUUAUUAUCUCAUAAGUUAAAACUAGUUUAUACAUUUCUUCAUAAGUAUUUAUAGAGAGAGAAAAAUAGAAAACUAAAAUAAAUUUAUUUCAUAAGUUAAAAUUAGUUUAUACAUAAGUUAAUUUUAACUUAUAAGAAAAACUUAUCUUUUUUCUUAUUAUUCUUUGUAAAGUUUUUAGGGAUAAUAAUCUUAUUUAAAUAGGAUCUUAAUACGAACGAAUUUAACUCACUUGAUUAGUAUUAAUUCUUGUUAUUUCCAAUUUGGAACAAUUAAAUAGUACUGGCAUUAAAGAAAGAAAAUCUGCAGAGUUUGGAUUUCACGAUUAAAGAUUGAAAUGGACGUAUAUCAGGAUAUGUCGAUGUGUAUUCUGCUUUGUACCUGCAAAUUAUUUCAAAUCGUCGCCUUUUACACUUUAAGGAGAGUACUUUUCAAACCUUUGAAUGUAUCUGAAAAUUCACUAACGCGUGAUCUUUUUCUCUAGCUGGAUUUGAAUCUGUUCUAUUUUGGUCUUACAACUUAGCUAUAAUUUUAAGUUUGGGCUGGAUUGCUCCAACUAUAUGUGCAGUAAUCAAAUAUUAUAUCUCGUUUUCAUAAUUUGGGAAAUGGUGGCACUUUCUAAUCCCCUGGAUUACAAGCAACAUAAAACAUCCGCUACAACAUAAUUACUUAACAAGUAUUUUGCUGUUAAAAGAAUCUACUUCAUUUGAUUAAGCAAGAGUAUAUGUGUGAAUUAUUGUCAGUUAAACUAGAGUGUAUGUAUGAGUUAUUGUAAAUUCUAUAAUAUUAUUUUUUAUUUCAACAGAUUAAAAAAUAACUGUAUUUUACUCGGUUUUCAAGCAAAAGAAAACCUAGUGAUGCUGAUUGUUGAAUUUUGCACCAAAUUGAAACUGUGACAAUUUCGCUACUAAGUACUUUAUCAUUCAGGAAUUAAUGUUAGCGGAAACCACCUCUAUGCUCCCCUUUUUACGGGUAACAGUUUUCAAACAAUUAAUAAUAUGUGGCAGUGGUUGAUGCUUGCCUUAUGUCAUGCUUCGACCAAGAGCACUUAUUUUUAGAAUUUUUUAGAGUCAUCCCACACUUUUAAUUGUCAAAAUUAGAGAAUUAAAUUAGAAUUAUGCAUUUUGGAUUUGGCACUUUAAUGUUAAACAUAGAAUCUUUUGGGUUUUUUUGUGUGAUCACCUUCGUUCUUAUGUGAGCCUUUAGCUUCUUAGUUAUUAAUAAUUUGAUCCAUGCUUUAUAGUCAUCCCCACGCUUUAAUGUUUUAUAUAUACAUAGAUAGAUAGACAUAUUUGGGUGUGCGUAGGUUAUAUAUAUAUAUAUAGGGAACUUUGUCAUAGCUAAGUUGGGAUACGCCUAGACAUGGGUAUUAAGUACGUGAGUUCUUAAUUAGGUACGUACCAUGUUCUUUUUUAUGAUUUGGAGAGAUUUUAAUUUGUAUGAAUUGAAAGUUGAUAUACUCGACAGGUGUUCUCUGACUCGUAUAUAAUCAUAAGUUAAUUUUAACUUGUAAAAAAAAUAAUUUCAUUUUUUUAUCAUUUAUUUAUUUAUUUUAGAAGUACUUUUUUAAAAAAAUUAUCCACACAUAUCCUAAAUAGGUAUUACAUGGGUAUAAGUACGUAGUCAUCAAAUCAUUAUAAUUAAUAUACACAACAUACCCCAAAAUAGCUUCACACAUCCAAGUUCUCUGUGUAAAGUAAUCGUACGGCAAGCUAUCAUUAGUGUAAAAAUCACGUUUCAGCUUUUGACGCCAAAGAAACAAAAUGUCAUUGUAGUCUCAACUCAACACGCUAUGCUGUAACCUUUGUGCCUUGUGGGGUUUUAGUCUCCAAAAACUAACACAAAGAAUUGGCUCCUUCAUUUUGUCGUAUCUAAAGAUUUUGCAUGCACAAUAAUUGUCAAGUGCACCCUAUAAUAAUUACCCAUGUUCAUGGCAACUAAAACUAAAAGGAAUGGUGUCCUUAUAAAGUGGUUUUAGGUCUUGGUACUUAAGCCACAAACUGGAAAAAGAAACCAUUGGAAAACGACUAUUCCAGAACUCGAAUUGAAUUUGUUAUGUUGAAUUCAGACACAUAUCUCAGUGAUCUACAGUAUUUAUUGCAGGACAGUGAAACACUGUUAGUAAGCAUUGGCUUUCAUCUUUUAUCAUUUGUGAUGGGUUCUAUUGGGUGGAUAGGGAGAAUUGAACAUUGGAAACCUCAUGCAAAGUAAUAAUGGAAGUAUAUCUUUGGGGAGUUUCAUUCCUUUCAUAUGUGAGGUGCCUCUAUGCAUAUAGGUGGUUCACUUUAAUGAGAUAAAAAUGUCUUAUACUGGUCCAAAGAAUUAUUGUAUAUGGUACAUUUUCUUUUCUUUUACGGGAGACCUUUUUGUUAAGAUGUGACUGUUGGAACUGUCUAACAAAUUAUAAUAGAUAAGAUUUUUAUGUUAAUUCAACCCCUCUUUUUGUUAAGUUCAUAAUUAAUUUAACCCUCCUUUCUUAAUUAUUCUGAGGUCACUUGAUCCAACAAUCAAAGAUGCAAAGGGCAAAGACGUAUUCAGGGUGAAAAUGAAGGCUAAAAGCUAUGCUCUAAAUCUGAUGGAGGAGAAACAAAUAGCUUUUUCAAGCAUGACCACCAAUGUUGAACUAUGGCACAAAAGACUCGGACACUUCCAUCUUGUUGGACUUUUAUACAUGCAAAAACAUGCCUUGGUGAAAGGUAUGUCAAUGCUUGAAGACAAGUUAGCCGAUUGCGCAGCUUUCCAAUAUGGUAAGCUAGUCAGAAAACCAUUUCCUCAAUCAGCUAGGAGAGCAACUCAAAAGCUGCAAUUGGUUCACACAAAUGUUGGGGGACCUCAGAGAGUAUCAUCUUUAAAUGGUAAUAAAUACUAUAUUAGAUUUAUUGAUGAUUAUACUAUAUUUUGUUAGAUUUAUUUCUUUAAAUCCAAGACUAAGGUUGCUAAUAUUUUCUGGAAAUUUAAAGCAUUGGUGGAGAAUCAAAGUGGUUGUAGGUUGCAAACAAUAAGGUCUGACAACGGGAAGGAAUACAAAUAUGAUGUUUUUGAUAAAUUUUGUGAAGAAGCUGACAUUGAGCACCAACUCAUCGUACCUUACACCCCACAACAAAAAAGGUGUGAGUGAGAGAAAAAACAUAAGUAUCAUGGAGAUGACAAGGUGUAUGCUGCAUGAAAAGGAGUUGCUAAAGGAGCUAUGGGCAGAGGCUACAAACACUAUAGUAUUUUUGCUGAAUAGACUACCUACAAGAGUUUUGCACAAAAAAACUCCAUUUGAAGGCUGGUUUGGUUACAAACCAGAUUUACAAAAUCUAAAAAUCUUUGGUUGUGUUUGUUUCUCUUAUGUUCCACUAGUUAAAAAGGACAAACUUGAUAAGAAGGCAGAGCCCGGUGUUUUCAUUGGAUACCGCAACACCUCCAAAGCUUACAGAAUUUUCCAACCCCAAAAUGGGAAAAUUCUUGUGAGUAGAGAUGUCAAAUUUAUGGAAGAUCAACAAUGGAGUUGGGAUGAGCCAAUAAGGAAGCAGCUGCCAGAAAUCCCACAGUUCCUUGAUGAUGAUGAUGUAGAUGACAUUCCUGUUAAAGGUACAAGAUCUUUAUCUGAGAUUUAUCAAAAGAGCAAUGUAGUUGUCCUAGAACCUGCAGAAUUUGAAAAAGCUAAAAAGGAUGACAAGUGGAUAAAUGCUAUGAAGGAAGAGUUGAAAAUGAUCGAAAAAAAUGACACGUAGAAGCUAGUGAACAGACCUCAACACAAACAACCUAUAGAGGUAAAAUGGGUUUAUAGAACCAAACUUAAUCCAGAUGGUUCUAUAAAUAAAUACAAGGCCAGGUUGGUGGUAAAAGGCUAUGCUCAGGUGUUUGGAGUGGAUUUUUCAUAAACCUUUGCUCCAGUUGCACGUCUUGAUACAAUUAGAAUGCUACUUGCCUUGAUUGCACAUAAAAGGUGGAAAGUUUAUCAUUUAGAUGUAAAAUCUGUCUCUCUAAAUGGUUACUUGCAGGAGGAGAUUUUUGUAGAGCAACCUGAGGGGUUUCAAAUCAAAGGAGAAGAGCAGAAAGUUUACAAGUUGAAAAAGGCAUUAUAUGGUCUUAAACAGGCUCCUAGGGCCUGGUACAGCAAGAUAGAUGAUCAUUUUCAGGAUCUUGGAUUUGUCAAAAGUCCAAGUGAGGCUGCAUUAUAUGUGAAAUUGGUAGAUGCAAAUUCAAUCAUUAUUGUUGUCUAUGUUGAUGAUUUACUUGUGACAAGAAGUGAUGAGAAACUCAUAAAGGAGUUUAAAGUUGAAAUGCUUAAAGCAUUUGAAAUGAAAAAUCUUGGCUUGAUGAGUUUCUUUUUGGGAAUAGAGGUGAAACAAGAUCAUGGUGGGAUCCUCAUUCACCAAAAGAAGUAUGCAAGGGAAAUACUCAAGAAGUCUCUUAUGGAGGACUGCAAAAGCACUACAUCUCCAAUGAACCAAAAGGAGAAAUUUAGCAAGGAUGAUGGAGCUGAUAAAGUUGACGAAAUGCAUAACAGAAGCUUAAUUGGUUGCUUAAUGUAUCUUACUGUAACCAGACCUGACAUUUUGUUUGCAGUAAGUAUACUUUCAAGGUUCAUGCAUUGUGCUAGUGAAGUUCAUCUUCAAGCUGGCAAACGAGUUGUUAGAUAUGUUAAAGACACUUUAGACUAUGGUAUAAUGUACUUUCAUUCUCAUAAUUUUAAGCUUCAUGGAUAUUCUAAUAGUGACUGGGCAAGUUGUAUUGAUGACAUGAGAAGCACCUCUGGUUACUGUUUUUCCUUUGGUUUUGGAGUUUUUUCUUGGUGUUCUAAAAAGCAAGAAGUUGUAGCUCAAUCAACUGCAGAAGUAGAGUAUGUAGCUGUUGUUGCUGCAGUGAAUCAAGCUCUUUGGAUCAGGAAAAUUAUGACAUAUUUGCAUAUGAAACAAGAAGAAAGCACACAGAUUUUUGUGGACAACCAGGCUGCAAUCUCAAUUGCUAAUGAUCUGGUGUUUCAUGGCAAAACUAAGCAUUUCAAGAUAAAGCUUUUUCUUCUAAGAGAAAUUCAAAGGGAAGGAGAAGUGAAGUUACUGUACUGCAAAACAGAGAAUCAAAGUGCUGACAUUCUGACCAAGGCACUUCCAAAAGCCAAAUUUGAAUACUUGAGACAAAAGUUUGGAGUUUGCAAUUCCAAAGUCAAGGAGGAAUGUUAAGAUAUGACUGUUGGAACUGUCUAACAAACUAUAAUAGAUAAGAUUUUUAUGCUAUUUUUUAAGAAAAAUAAAAGUCAUAUUGACUAAUAGGAUAAAUCAAUUUUGAUCCUAUUCUUUAGGCAUGAUCUGUUAGUGAUGUUAUCUUUCUAUUAGUCGUUACUUUCUUUUAUAUGUUUUUAAAUACGUUGUUUCAUAUCGAAAUAAAAUAAGUCUUUACCGUCUCAAUUUCUUUCUUUACGUUUCCUUCCAUUCUUUAAUAUUUCUGGCUACUGUUGUUAACAAAAAAAUGACACUUUUUUUUACAUGUGGUAGAUCUAGCUCCAAGUUUUUCCACCCCAUGAAAUUCAUAUCCUAAAUUUUUUUUGUAAAUAGGGUAGUUCAAAAGGCAGAGAAACGACAUUGACAAAAAAUAUUUUGGAUUCAAUUUUUUUUUCUUUUAUGAAAGUCAUCCAUAAAUAUUUUUUAAAGUUCUUGGUAUGAUAUUAUUACGUACGUUAUGUUUUUAUUUGGUAAUUAAUAUGACAACAUCCUGUCCUUAGCCUUUCAAGCUCUUUAUAACUUUUGUUUCAUUCUUAUAGGUACAUUAUAGAUGUUGCUAUUAGUUAGACAAAUGGCAAUCUUUCAUUAAAUAAUUAAUUUAUACGCCAAUAUACUAAAACAAUUUGUUCCUUUAGUACAGCUUCAAACCUAUAUGGUUGAUCCCGGUUAUAAAUUUAUACCACAUAUAGAUUUAUAAGUGAAAAAAGUAAGUUUUUGUAUGGUUUCACAGGAAUAAUAUGAUUUUUGAUGGGCAAUCUCUGGAGCAAGACUGUGUUUUGGAAACUAUCAAACGCAAAUCCUGGUUGUGGUUGGAUUCUUAUGUCAAACAGUUCAAAUACUCCUUCUUCGAAUACUGGCAUUCGAAUGAACCCACUGCUAUGCCUCAAAUGGUUAUGAAGCGUGAGGAAAUUAAGGGAAGCAGGGACAUGGAUAUAAAAAGCUGCAUGUAGAGAUUUAUGAAAUUUGGUUAUGGGUAUUUAUCAUGGGAAAAGGGCUGUUAAAAAUUACCAAGUAUGAUACCUGGGUUUAUUUUGUAAUAUAUGGAUCUUGGGAUAUUCGCUGGUAAAAUAUUUGCCAGGGGAUAUUAUCCUUUAUAUGAUGCUCCUUGUUUUGUAAUUGGUAUCUUUGAUACCCUUAAUAAAAUGUUUGUUUGCAGAUAAAAAGAAAAACUAGAAUUCGUACAUUUAACUAUGAUGUAUAUACAAUAUCUUGCAAACGAAAUUCUAUAUAUUUUUAUUUAUUUUUUUGUUUUUAAUCAUUAUAAGGCUUGAUGUUCGUGAAUUGAAUGAUCAGUUUUAAAGAGAAAAAUUAUUAUGUUGAAUCACUUUGAUUUUCUUAGUUCAUCAUCCAACUAAUUUGAUUCAAAAUUUUAAUUUGAUUUAAUUUGGUUUCAUUUAAAAUGACUUGGAUUGACUCAGUUUUUUAUUUUAAUCCUAUUUUUUCUUUGAGAAAAUAUUAAAUAAAUGGUAAGAUUUAUAAAAUACAGUAAAAAAUAAUUUAAAAUGUCCAACAUUCCAUUUAUAUGUCACUAUAUAACUAAUGAUAGUACAACUUCUUAAAUAUAUAUUAUAUCAAAAAUAAAUUUAGACAAUUUGAUAAUUAUAUUUAUGCAUCAUAACUAAAAGAGUUAGUUUUAUAAAAAAAAAAUCUCAAAGAGUUAGUAAAAAAAUUAUCUUUUAUAUAUUAAAUAUGUUUUUCAUAAAUAAGUAUAAAUUAUAUGAUAAUUUAAUAAAUAUAUAAGAAAUAAAAAUAUCAACAUGAAUGAUAUGAAUUUAUAAUAAAAAUAUAUACAUGUAUAAGUUCAAUUUGAAUUGGAUUGAAUCCAUUUUUAAAAUUAAAUUUGAAAUCCAAUACAAUUCAAUAAAACAUUCCAAUUUUUCACUUUUUUUAUUCAUUUGGUUUCUGGCUGCUUGGACUAGAUUUUUCCCAUCGGAUUGAAUCAUUUUAUGAAUACCCCUAGCUUAAUUGCACUUUUGUUACCGUAAUUGUGUGAUUUAAAUCCUAUACUCCAAUUCUGGAUUGGAUCUUCAAAUCUUACAAUUGUAUAAUUUUAAUCCUCCCAUGAAUAUUUGGUAAAUAUUUAACAAAUAUUGCCAACACACAUUAGAUGAUAAAAUGUCAAUAUCAGUGUUGGCAUAUAUGUUGGCAUGUAUGAUGAUAUUGCUUAAUUAUACUUUUUGUUUCUUAGAUAUUAUAAUUAUGAGUGAUCAUAAUUGAAUCGUGAUUAACAUAUGUGUCAGAUAAUUUGUCAGUUAUUAAUUUGUCAUCUCAUGUUAAGUGAUAACGUUGUUUUGAUAAUAAAAAUAUAUUGAAAAUAUCUUUAAAAAUAUUUAUUUAACAGUUAUUUUUGACUUAAAUGAUAAGAAUAUUUUUGUUAUUUAUGACUUGCAGAUGUGAAAAUAAUGGAUUAAAAGAGAAAAAGAUCGAGAAAAUAUAAAAAAUAUGGAUAAGGAAGAUUUUCAGCAUCAGUGGAUAAGGAAAAUUUUCCGCAUCAGGCCCAAGUUCACUACAACAACUAUAAAAAGAGAGUCAAGCCAAAGCGAUCUAUAAUGUACUCUUCAUUAUUUAUCAAUGAAAUACCACGUGUUUUCUAAUCCAUUAUCUUUUCUGCUUUUAUCUUAUUCAUCUUUGUAUUCUUUUAGGGGUUGUAUGCUUGGGAGAUGAUAACUUCUAAAUAAGAUUAUUUUAACAUCUAGACUUCAUACUUCAUGUAUUUUAUUUGUUGAGUAUUUUGCAAAGGAAGUUGGGAGAUAAAUAAAUAGAAUAGACUUGUCAUCAUGAGGAAUGGAAUUAGGGGCAAGAAUGUGGGUAAAAUAGAAUCACCUAAAUUGAUAAAGAAAAAUUAUAAACUCAUACAUCCUACGCAAACAAGGAAUGUUAGGUUCCAACAUUAUCUGAUUUUCUUUUAUUUUUAUCUUUUAUUUUUCUCAUCUUAUCUUAUUUUUUUAUCUUUAUCUUAAUCUUUUAUUGUUCUUAUCUUUUACUUUUAUUUUCUUAUUUUCUUUAUCUUUUAUUUUGGUCUUUAAAUCUUUGUCUUAUAUAUUUUUUUAUCUUUAUUUUAAAUUCUUUAUCUAUUACUUUUAAAUUGAAUUUGCAUUAAUCUAAGUACAAAUAAAGUCCGUCUGUAUUCGACACUCGAACUUCCAAAUAUUUUAUUACUUGUGACAAUUUGAUACAUUUGUCAACGAGUUGACAAAAUUGAUUUAUAAUUUAACAAAAGAUUGAAAAAAUGAUCAAAAUUACAUAAUUUUAAUGCCUAUACAACCUAAUUUUUCAAUGUAAAAAUAAAAUAAAAAAGUUUUUUCAGGACCAAAAGUCAAGAUAGGAUUUAUUUAAAACUAAAUACAAAAUCCAAAAAAAAAUGAGCAAAAUUAAAAACAUACACAAAUUGGUGCCACGUAUAUAAACAUUUCUUUUUCAUGAACCAAAAACAUGCAUGCAUUGAUGUCGCGUAUAUAAAUUUUGCGUUGAAUUACUGGUACCAACAACCACUAUUGUUUUAAGUUGCUUUAAUGAGAGAGAUUGUGUUAUUGUGGGUUAGAAUCCAUCAUUGAUAAAUAAUAUUUAUGGAUAAAAAAAUUAUUAUUUUGUGUUGCUUUAAUGAUAAUGUAGUAACUAUUAAAUUGAAGCCAGAGUAACAUAAUUAUUUUUGGGCGCCGGGUGACAUCUUCAUCCACCCUUUAACAGAUGAAUGAUGAUGAGAACCCAAGACUAUUCAGUCCUGUCUUGUUUAGAACAAGAAAAAGCCCAAUGACAUUAAAUCCACUUUAAAAAGAAGGUAUACAUCACGGGGCCCUACUGUAAGAACGUUUCAAUAAUUUAUAACGUGACAAUGCUUCCAAAUGCAAUACCACUAACCGAGGGCAUAGGUAAGCAAAAACAUUGCAUUUCGACAAAAACAAAAGAAUAGUCAAAUGUGACGCCAUGACAUUGACAUAGCUUAUUGUCAAAUUACAUCACCUACACUAAGUUUAAAUUUACAACUAUCAUGCUUAGUCAUGCUAUUAUAUACCUCUCCUAAUGAAACAAACCUAGGCUUUCUACACCUCAUAAUUAUAAUACUCAUUUUCUACAUGAAAGGCCUAAUCGAAGCCUUAACAUAGCCAAAACAACUUACCAAUAGAAUUUAGCAAGUCACAUGCAAUUUUUCAGAUUCAUUCAACAUACUUAGCUCGUGUAUGUAAAAGUGCUAAAAGGCAAUAACUUGAGAUGACAACACAGACAUCAAAACUGCUCUUACAACGUCAUUUAAGGGGAAAGUGUCGUGAAUGUGACUCAUUUACAGUCCUCAACAAACAGCUACUAAAUAAUGAAGUUUAUGAUAUUAAGCUUUCAAUGACAGAAUACCACGUGGUAUUGUAACCUAAACCAUAAAUUAGUGAUGAUUUUUUUUUCGUUCAUAUGUAAUGGAAGUGAAUGAUUUGUUUAGUUAAAGAAUUUGUAUUUGAUUAUUAUCGUGUUAAAUUAUUUUUUUUGGACAACUAACAUACAGUAAAAUUAAUCUUUGAUUCAAUAAAUCUAAAAAUAAAUAAAAAAAAAUAACAUAUUAUACAAGUAUUUAGUUGAAGCCAAAGUAGUCGAAUAUAUUACAUAAACCCCAAAAGCAACAGCUCAUAACACUAAGCUUUAGUGUCACAUGCAUGCCGAAACCUACCUGUGCAAGUGUGCAUUAAGUCACUGAAUACUGAGACAUUUAGAUGGGAAAAGGUAAUCAUCAAUAAAAAGUGUUGAUCCAUAUCAGCUACAUUAAUCUUGUUAAAUACUUUAAUACCCUCGUGUCUCAACAAAUAUCUUAUAUGACUAUUUAAUCCAAAAUUAACCCAAAACCAUAUCAGUUAAAUUUUAAGAGAAUUUUUUUGCUUUAAAUAAGUUAUAUAUUAGGCAUUUUUUGUCAAUGUGUAUGAUAAUUUUGUCAAAAUGUGACUUUUUUUACUUUAUAAAAAAUAUCUUUUUGUCUGUAGACUUAAAGUUUGAAUUUUAGUUGUCUUAUCCUCUUACUAGCACCUUACAUUUAUAUCAUUUAUAUUUUUCAUUUUUAUCAAUUCACAAUAAGUUGAAUAAUAAAUUAUAGUGCCAGGUGUUAACCAUCAAAUUUAAUAUCUUAGGUUGAUGACUUGAUUACCAUUCUGACAAGCCAGUGGUAGCCUUCUGAAGAUAUGCUUUAAAUUCAAUUUUAUAAGAGUAAAACAGAACUACAAAGAAAGCAAAAUAAGCAAUUAUGAAAUACACUCUCACCAGUUGAGUAUGCAAGGUUCAUUGCAUCAGUUAAGAAAAUAACACGAAAAAAAUAUAGAAUUAAAACUUUGACAUUAGAGAAACUAAAAAUAGAAGUACCUUGUAUAAUAACAAAUAAACAAGAAAUUGUGUCCCCACCCCUCUAAAAAAAGAAACUUAACCUAGUGCAAUUACUAAAUUGUAAACAGUAAAAACAAAAGCUGUUUUCACCUCAAUGUACAAGCCUACAAAUCAAUUUCCUCUUGCAUGAACAUCAUAAGGAGGACUACAGCUAGAGAACCUCAAAAAACAAACCUUUGGUUUUUCUUUUGGGUAAUUCAAACCAUUCAAUAUUAAUUACAAUGAACCCGGUAUACUACAAAAAGCCAGGCCACAUUGAAGACUCAUGUAAAUUUUGGUUUAGGCACAGGACCAUUAUUAUGAUGCACAGGACCAAGCUUUUGAAUCCAAUGGAGAAGCCCUUUCUUGUGAUCUUGGCAACAAGGAUUUUCCACCAGAGUCAGAGUUCCAUCAUGAGCAAGCGAAGAUUCAAAUUGUUCUAAUACCUUAACAACCUGCCAGAACUCGGGCCUCUUGUCCGGAUGCAAAGACCAACAUUGCUCGAUUAAAGCUCGCAUUGCAGGUGGACAGUCUGAAGGAAUAACUGGCCUUGCAUUCUGAAUACAGCAUCACAAAAGUAUUAGAAUUGCAUAGGUAAACAGUGUCAUUUAGCUAGCAAAAUAUUUUCCACAAUUAUCCAAUACAUGAUGAUCCUAAGAAUUCAAUUUAGCUCCAUUCUUGGUAAUCUUAUCAACUACUAUGCUACAUCACUUGAUGAAACAGAGACAUAUGUAAUAAUGACAUAUAAACUAAUGCAUGCUACAUCAAUUUUUUUUCCUCUUUUUUAAUAAGUUGGUCAUACAUGUCUAGAAUGGAUGAAAAUAAUCUCUAUAUUUCACCAUUGUUUUCAAAGCAAAGGAGGUAUCUUGCCAAGGAUUUUAGCCACAUCUCAAAAAUACAUUUGGUUUAGCUAUAAAAUAUAUAGUACUCAUCAGACGGGCUAUAAACUCAUUAGCAAUUAUUCAGUGGCAAUAUGAUUGAUUUCCUCAGCCAGGAUAAUGAUACCUCCUUUGGCAAUCAUCACUCAACAUAUUGAAAUAAAAGCUUUAAGAAAGAAAGAAAAAAUGAUGAAAAAAUGGAUGAAAAUUGAAAAGAGUAGUUAAAUCAUGAUAUAAGUGGAUGAAGCAUUGCAAAAAGGAAAAAAUGUCCUUCCAUUUACAACAUAAAAGGUUUCAACUGCUACAUCUGAGAGUAACAGUCGCUUUUAUAAAAUACAUUCAAAGAUUGCAAAACAUAUUAGUUAAUGGAGCAUGUAUUGUCUAUCUUCAAGCGAACUGUAUCAUUAAUGGAACCCAUGUCCAGUUUGCAUUACUCUUGUAUGCCAGUCAUUCAGAGAGGUUUGGGCGGAUAAAUGGGGCUGUAGACCUUUUCCUAUUAUUGACAAGAUUUCAAUGCAGAGUGCACAGAAAGCAAUGCAACUUUACAACGAGUAUUGUUACAGACAAUGAAGAAUAAUGCAACAAAUAUUAGUAGAUUGUGACAUUCACAUUACAAUUCAUAUGACUUAAUUGCGAAGAAACAUACCUUAUUUACUACGGCAAAAGCAGCCUGGAUGGGAGUCAUAUCCUCAUAUGGUAUAGUUCCAGUCACCAUUUCCCAUAAGAUAAGCCCAAAACUAUAUACAUCAACCUUUCUCCCAUAGGAUUUUCGUUUGAUCAUCUCAGGUGCCAUCCAGCGGUAGGUACCAGGGUCAUCAGCAAAUAAGUCACAGUAUGCUUCCUCACAAGCAAUGCCAAAAUCAGCAAUUUUAAGGUGAAAGUCUUCAUUGAUAAGGACAUUCUCCGGUUUAAGGUCUCGGUGAAUGACACCUUGAGAGUGUAUAUAUUCCAUUCCACGAGCAAUGUCCAGAGCAAAAGCAAUUAGCUUCCCUAGAGAAAUAGUUUUUCUUUCCAACUUAUGCAAAUAUGACCUCAACGAACCUUCUGAUAGAUAUUCUGUGAUAACACAAUAAACAUGUGGCUUUCUACAUGCUGCUACGAACUGUGUAAUCAGAUCAAGAUAAAUGAGAAGUGUGUAAGUACCAGCCUCCUAAUCACAUUAAAUUCUCUGAACAUGAUAUGAACUGCUCAAUCAGACUAUGGUAAAGAAUAUAAAAUGAAGUAUUCUUGAUUUUACUGGUGAUUAUCUCAACAUAACUAAAGGGUCAAGUACAGUAAUUAGCACAAAAUAAUGGAUAUUCUCACCCUGUAUUCAACAAGAAAAACAUAUAGUAUCUGAACAAAAGCGAAUGACAAAACUUAGAUAAAGUUCAGCAGGUGCGUGUAGUGCUGUUCUUCACUAAAAAUGUGAUAAGUGUCCCGUGUUUUUGGUACUACCUUAUCCUCCUUUAAAAAGGCUUUAAAGUUAAGGUUAAGGUGUAAAAAAACAAUACACAUACCUUGUUUUUAUCAGAAAACAACAACUGCGCCACAAGCUUGAAAAAUGAAGCAAAUAGAAGUUUGUAAACAGCAUAUACAAAAGGAGGUAAAGGAUUGGAUUAGAUUACCUUUAUAACAUUUUGAUGGUGGAGGCACGAUAAAAGCGAUACUUCUCUAAUGAAUUGUUUCUCUAAUCGAUCCACCAACAUUCCAUUUUCGUCAUCAUCCGGUACCGUGAUAAUUUUCACAGCUACAGCUUCAUCUUUAUACAUGCCAUGGUAAAGCCUGCUAUGAGCACCAUGAGCAAACCUAACACCAACAAAGAGCUUGGAGAGGUCAACAUUCCAUUCCUCAGCUGUUUCCACAGCAGUAACCUUUCCCCCUCCAUGAUCAAAGUACUUUGUCCAUCCCAAAUCCUUUCGGUGCUGCUUCGAGCUUAAUUUCAUCGAAGCAAGGUGCCUAAUUGGACUGCUGUAAGGGGAUUUAGUAGUAAUUGGACUACUGCGAGGGGAUUUGGAAUUGGACACAUGAGAAUCCUUGUUGAGCAACUUCCCCAUGAUUCUCUUGUCCUUGUUCUGUUCUUUCCUCCUUGGACCAGGUGUUGAGAACCUCUUCUGCUCAUGUCUGGCUUCCUUGAAGGUCUCAGAGAGAGAGGUUCGAGGCAAAGGGGACAAAGAUCUCUGCUUGUUCAUUAUUGGUUUCUUCUGAGCCUUGUUGGAAGCAAAAGCCACUUCAGGCCUUGAUUUCAGACUACUAGAACUGUGUUGUGCCCUUGGCUGAAUGCUGAAAGAGCCAAAUCCAGAACUGGAAUAGUUCAACCUGUGACAUACUGUGUGGGAGAAUUUGGCCCUCCUUAUCCAAGAAUUACUGCUAUCUUCAUCCAUCUUUUACCCUUUCUUCUUCAGAAGAAGAAGAAAACUAGAAGCACCUUACAAAAUCACUUUAUCCACAAUCUGAGAAAUAACUAGUCUUAAAGCCAAAAGGGUGGUGGUCCCCAAAAAACAAACUUCUCAGACUAAUUUCACACAAUCACAGGUAACUAGAUUUCCUCAAACUCAUCAACAACAACUGAGGGAUUGAACCAUGAAAAGUCAAAAAAAAAAAAUCCCAAUUGGAAUCAGAAAACCACUCAAAGCAAUCAAAACCCAGCAAGAAUGAGUUGAUGGAAAUUGGAAACCCCUCCCCCCCAAAAGAGAGAAAAAAAUCUGAAUUAAAAGCCAACAACAAACAUGCAGUGCUGUAGCGAGAGGUAACAGAAACUCCAAUCAAUCAAAAAAAAAACUUGACCUUUCAUAACCUCCUCAGCUGACACCUUUUACCAACAAAGUCAAACACCCACCACCUUCCGUAAAUGCCUGGAAAUCCCACACAGAUACCAGAAUACACUAAUCAAACCCCAAAAACAAAAAAUAUUCACUUUAAUUCAAAUCAGCAGAAAAACCACAAGUUAAAAACUAUUAGUACUUAUUUUACGUUGAUAAUGCAGAAACACCCAUCAUUAUACGUCCCCAUUGACUAACAAUAAUACUCAUUAUUUUAAAGAGUGACGAGCCAAUUAAACUAUUAUUAUAUUUCCAAAAGACCCAAAUACAGAAACAAAAAAAAAAUCAUUUUUUUAUAAAGAAAAGCAUCCCCAAAUACAAAGAAGAAAAGGGUGUCAGUAAAAUGCUAAAAUUGCAUUACCCGGAGAAAUAUCAAACCCGCGUACUACAAUUCUACAAAGGGUGUUUUUUUUGUUUUUCUUAUAUCAAAUUAUAAGAGCUUAUAAUAUGCUGAUAAAGACAGAAAUUUCCUGCACCUAAUAAAUACUCCACUUUCCACGAAGAGAGAGAGAGAAAAAAAAUCUUUUAUUUACUACUAUUAUUUUAUUAUUUUGAGAAUACAUAUACUUUGAUAAAUUUUAAAGGUGUCUUAGUAUAUUGAUUAAGAAAUUAAAGAAAUGUUUGAUAGAGAAAAAGUUUUAUUAUUUUUAAAAUUAUAUUUUUAAUAAUGAAUAAAUUUUUGUUUGAUUGGAUAUCAAAAAAUUCUAGAAAUUAAAAAAUUAUAUAAUAUAUUUACCAGUUAUUUUAAUUAUUUAUCACACUCAUAAUAAUAACAUGAUUUUUGUAUGUAAUAGAAAAAUUAAACUCGAAAAGUAAAAUUUUCAAAAACAAAAUCUUAAUUUUUAAAAACAAAUAAAAACACAGGAAACCAAGAUUUUCAAUCCUAAAUUCCUAAAAAACUUAAAACUUUUUCCUACCAAAAGACUUUUUAAAACCUCCUAAAAAGAGGAUUUUAUUAAGAUAAGUAAAAAUAUAUUUUCUAUAACUUUUUAUACACUCUUAUAAAAUCUUCAUGAAAAAUAUUCUUCUUCUAAUUUGUUAACCAAAUAUCCUUGGUCACAAGUCAGCAACAUCCAUACUUACAAUUUUAGAAUGGUCAAUGGUGAAUACGAAUGUGAACGAGUUUGGUAUGACAAACGCAGGAAAUAGAGAUUAGAGGGCGCAGAUUUUGGAAAUUGGAAGAUGAUGUUUUGGACUAGAGACGGCCAUGAUGAGGUUUGCUCCUUUGGUGGGAUGAAGGGUAACUCUGUAGGGUAGAGAUGGGGAUGGAUGUACUCAUUGUUACGUGCAGGAGAGUUAAUAUGUUUUGUAUUGCUUUCUUAGUAGAAAUAUUUAUUGUCAUUAAUUAUAUUUGGUAGGUUUUAAAUAUAAGAGAUUCUUACAUGUUCUUAUGAUAGUGUUGUUAUACCAUACUGCUUUAAUGCUUGUCUUGAUGCGUUUUUUUAUUGUUUUAAAACAUUUUAAUGAUUCUUGUGAUUAGUAAAAAAAAUGUAUUGUAAUUAAUGAUUUACCUAACUUGUGUGGCGAAUUUGCAUACUUAUAGCAAUCAAUUUAUAUAAUGAUAUGUACUAUACUGAAUCGACAAAACCUUCAUACUGUGUGGGCGGGCAUGUACAUCUCUUGUUUUAUUUAUUCUCUGAGUCUCGACAGAGAUUAAAAAAAAAAUUUACUGAUUAUCGAAGAGAAGAAUCAAGGUAAGAUCCCACACAGAAUUGUCAAAUAAGAUAAGAUUACAUUCAAAUAAGAUAAUAACAUAAUGUAAAAUUGUUAUUUGCCUAUUAGUUUCCAAGAAUAAAUAUAUGUACUUGACAAUGUAACAAUGUUUACUAUUUAAUCACAAUUUUUACCAUUACUGAUUAGUUUGUUAAUAGUUAUUUUAAAAAUUAUAUAAACAAAGAUUUAUAAUUGAUUAAUAUUGUAAAAAGAACUAAACUACAAAUAUAUCAAUAUGUAGAAAUAAAAUUCAUAUAGUAAUUAUUAAAAAAAAUUAAAAGCUAAUACAUUUGAUAAAUGGAAGGAAGUGGGAAAGGAAGGAAAAUAAAAGUCACGAGACAGAAUUGAAAGUAUGAGUUUUAUUUUUGGUUAGAAUAAUUCUAUUAUUUUUAGUAAUGUAUUUUUUAUAAAUUUUUAUUUAUUAAAUAAAGAAAGAACUAAAUACAUUAAACACAUAUUUAAAAUAUUGAAAUAUUUAAUUUUUAUUCAAUAUUUAUUUUAUAAAAUAUUCACAAAAUUAUAAGAAAAAUAUAGAGUAAUUAUGUUCAUAUUUAUUUUUUAUCUUGUUUUUAAUUAUCAUUUCUGUUUUCUUUUUUCAUCACAUCAUUUAUUAUUUUGUUCUUCUACUUUUAUUCUGCUUUCUUUCUUCUUUCUUUCUUCUUCUUCAAAUCUACUCCAAAAUGAAAGGAAUGUCUAUUGUAUUUGUUUUUAAAUAUAAUAAGAACUGCAACAUUACUUUAGAUGUGUUUAGUCUAGAGAAGAAAAAUAGAGGGAAAAAAAGAAAUAAAAAAUAUUUUUUAAAAUUAAAAUAAAAUAUAAAAGGUAUAAGUCUCACAAAAUAUAAUAUCAAUUUUUUUGAAUAUUAUUUUCCUCUUUAAACAAACAAAUCCUUUCUUCUCUAUAUUGUUUAGUUAAAAGAAAUGGUGAGAGCGUAUGGUGAAUGGAGGAAUCCAUGUGUCACUAUAGGGGAGAAUGAGGUACGGAUUCGAUUUUUGUAUAUGUUUGGUUCUGAAGAUGCAUACUUCAACGAAACUACUACACAACUUGUACGGUUGGUUGCAUUGUACGAUACGGUUCCCAAAACAAAACUAAACCCAUUUGGCCACCAAACGGUACGAAUCUACAUAACUUUGUACCUUGUUUACCCAAAAAAUAAGAAAUGAAAUCGACUUAAUUUAACACUUAUUGUCACAUUACUUGUUUGUUUCGAUGUUAAUGGCCUCUUAUGCUGUCUUAAUUAAUAAGAACAAGAUAUAAAUCUCAUUAGAAAUUAUAUUAUUGGCUUAAGUUAGAGAAGACAAAUACAUGGGGACAUGGGGUGAUGGGGGAAGCCUUUGCUUGCACUUAAUGUCAUUGGAAAAAUUUAAAAAUUAAGAAAUGCAAUAUUCAAUUAUUAUUUCCCAAUGGCCAAACAAAAUAUCCUUAUUGUACGGAUUUUGAAUCUCCAUUCAAUAUUAAAUGGUGAGUGAUUAUGAUUUUUUGAAAAUAAAAUAAAAUAAAAAGGUAGAUGAAGAUGGCAUAUAUAUGAUAAGAGUUAUUAGUUUUACCCAUGCAACCAUCUAUUAGAAUAUUAGUUGAACAUAUUUCCCGUGACAUGGAGAAGAACAAUUCCUAUUUUUUCAUAUAUGUUGAAAAUUUUCAUACCUUGCAGGCAGGCAUGGAAAACUUGACCUUGCACAGUCACACAUAUAUGAUAGGAGAGAGAAAGAUAGAGAAUUCGAUAGCGAACGAUUGAACGACGCAUACGCACACCUCACAUCAAUCAAUCAAAGAAAAUAAAAUGGGAAUGGAAUGUGAAUUUGACAUUUGACUCUUUUUUCUAUUCUUCAUCUUUUAUGAAUGAAUUCUCACUUAGUGUAUGAAUGAGUCAAAAAAUAAAAAAAUAAUCAACACUACACUUGCGUCUUCUUUCGUCAUAAGUGACACAUUAUGACGUCUCUAAUUUUAUAUAUAACUAUAUAAACUUAUUAAACUGGGACUAUUUUAUGUUUUUUUUUUAAUUAGAUUGUAUAAUCAAAUUCCCAUUUCCUUGAAACAAUAAAAACAUUGGAAAUCAUAUUAAUUUCUUUUUGGCUUUUUAGGAAACGUCUUAGUUUUAUAUAAAUGCUAUUAGCGAUUUUUGAACUUUAUAAAUGACAUGACGUUACACACUAAUAGCAUCUACUAUAAAACUUCGCCUAAAAUCUUUAUUUUAUUUUUCUUAAGUCUCAAAAUUCAUAGUAAAGAUUAAAAACUAGUUGUUGAUAAUAUUGAGGGUCAUAAAAAGAGAACUUAAUUAUAAUAAUGCAUAUGAAUGUCUUUCAAAAGGGGUUAAAAGAAAGAAUAUGUAAUUUUUAAAAUAAAAAAGAAAACUUAAUGUAGUUUAAACGUUUCAAAAUAAAUAUUUUACACUAAAUAUAGUUAAGAAAAAUUAUCUUAAAACCUUUUUUUCUUGGAAGAAAAAUAUUAAGUCCAUUUCAAAUUUUAGUUAUUUGUUAAUAAAACAGCAUGGAACUUUUAUAAUAAUGAAAAUAUAAAAAAAAAAAUUAUUAACCUAUCUGUUGUAUCUCCCCCAAAUAAAAUAAUACAAGUAAUAGUUUGCCUCAAAGAACUUGGUUGUCAAAGAACUUGGCCCAUUAUCGAUUGUUAGUUUGUUACGAAUUAUGUCAAGCCAGUUGUUAUUAGUUUCACUCCUAUUACUCCUAGCGCCCUACUAAGGAGCUUACCCUUUUACAAAUUGUCCUUCCCACAGAAUUAUGGUUCCAUGGUAGGUCAUGCACUGUACAACCAUAAUUUCAUUCAUUCUUAUAAUUUUCUUGUAAGUGACUUUAAUCAAACAAGUUUCGUGUUUAAAACUUGAAUUUUUUUUGAAAGAAUUAAUAUGUCAUGAAUUAAAUAAGGGAUCAUUUUAGAACUUAUAAAACUUAGGAACUAAUUUAGAAAAAAAAAAAAAGAGAUUAUUUCCAUAUUGUAGACUAUUUUUAAAAUGCAAAUUACAAAUUAAUCUUUCUUUUUUUCAAUUUGAGUCAUUAGAACUCCCUUCCUCAAUCUUGAACACCUACCCCCAUUAGAGGUGGGUAAAUGGGUUCAUGACUAUGAACCGGUCCAUGGGACCCACGGUACCACGAUUUGUGUGGCCCGUGGACUAAUUUUUUUAAAAAUGCAUGACUAUACAGGAUUCUGCCUGAUCCCCUGCCAAUGCGCCAGCUUAACCACCCCAAACAACCAUCCCACAUUAUCAUUUAAAAUCCAGUGCAUCCUCUGAACUCCUCCCCCAAUUAAAACAACCCAAACACAAUCAACACUUUUCCUCUCCAUUACAACUAAUUUGGCCAUCUUCUCUGCUUGCCUUUUAGUUAAUUUGUGCUUUUAAUUUAGCCAUGGAUUUUUUUUUUUAAUUUACCCCUCAAUUUCUCCCAAGAAAAAUCAAGAAAAAACAUUUAAAAAAAUGGGAUAUAUUUAAUGCACGAAUAAUUGUUUGUAAGGUUUGAAUUUGAAAUCAUCCAUGGCAGGUUCAUUGCACGAGGACGACAAUGAAAUCUCAUAGAAGAUAGUGGUGACAUUGUUCAAGGCUAAAUUGAUUUUUGCCUUUUCCUCUAAUGUUGGGUGAUGCACAUAACCUGCAUAUGUACAAGUUGUUUUCGGUGGUGAAAGGAAAGGUAGAUACGACGUCGUUUGCAAUGGGAAGUUGUGAUGCACAUAACCCCUUUUUUUCAAUUCGAGUCUAACAAGUCUUUUUUUCAAACACCUUACAUACUUAUUCCUAUCAUCCACCAUAUCACACAUUACUCUCAAUACUUACUCAAAACCAGUUUAACAGAGGAAAAAACACUCAAGCCUAACCCGAAUUCCUCCCUAAUUGAACCCACAACUUCCUAGUGCAAACUGCAUUGUAUCCACCUUUCCCUUUCAGCACCAAAAAGUCAAAAACUUAUACGAAUCCAAGUGUUAUCUAUCUCCCAGUAAUGACGAAAAGUGCAAGAAGCAAUUAAACGCAGAAUUUUCACCUCAACAAGGAACUUCACUGAACCUUAUCAUUCGAGCCUCCAACAAUGUAAUCACCAUCUUCUACGAGACUCCAUUGUCAAGUAAGAACCGGCCUACCAUGGAUUUGAAUUCACAUACACAACCCAUUGUUUUUGUUCCACCACCUGCAUUCACAAAUAAAAACUUGACACCAAUGACCCAUGCCAAAUCAAGGGCCAUAAACGUCAAAUCCGAGCAUGCAUCAUUGUCUACAUGGAUUCUCCCACAAACCAACUCGAGGGCCAUAGUUCGAUGAUUACACAUUUUGAAAUCAUUCUGACAGACGAUGCUCAGAAUAAUGUUUAGAGCUCAAGGCUCUGGCAAAUUUAUUUAUCUUUCUUAUUUUGAAAUUCAGAUUCUUCAAACUAUCAGUUUGUUCCAAGAAAUUCUACUUAAUUGCUAGUCAUAUUUAUGUGGCCUUUUUGGAAAAUGAAGCUCACAGAUGCAUUGAAAUAAACUAUGGUGCAGCUUAUCUGCAUUAGCUUUUGGAGAAUCAUAGAUUAUAAACUGCAUGAUCUGGUAUACACAAGGAUUUCUUUUAUAGUACUUCAAAAUGGAAAAGUGUUUUGGUGUUCAGGAUCAGAAAAAUGCUAAAAGGAAGUAAAAUCAUGUGAAAAACACUCAAUUAUAUAUAUUGCUAGCAAUGGGUUACAAUUGAAACCAAACUUCACCUGUAAUUCAUUUGGGAGUAGGGGGAGCGGGGUAGGCCAUUAUCAUUGGCAUAAUACUAUAUAUUGAAGCUGCUUGAGUUCUUUUCCAGGUGCUGAAGUAGCAGUUGCUUCAAAAUUACAAUUCUGUCAGACUCGUAUUUUGAAUUAUAUCAGACUGUUGACCCCACUUUAUGAUACCUUUCGAGAAAGGUUCUUCAUGCCAUAACCAAUACACUUUAGAAAAACCGACUGUGAGUUUGGAUCUGGUUUGAUAAUAAACUUCAAAUCAAGAAAAUCCCUUAGGUUUCUGAGAGUUUCAACUCCAUGCUGCGAAAGUUUUCCUACACGAACCUUGGAAACAUCUUGAGGGCAUAGAGCACAUAGAAGAAAUAACAAACCCUAUAAACCAAAACAUUAAAAAAUAUAUUAGGUAAGCCAAAGUUCCACAGAUGGAAGCAAUUUUCAUCUUAUUAGUCCUACAAAUCCAGGUGCAAGAUAAUAAAAUUGAAAUAGCUACUUAUUUCAGCACCAAAGAAUAGAAUUUGAGUCGUAAAACUUCCAGGGAGGGUACAUCUCUGCUGCAUGUUCUCUUUUCUUUUCCUUUUUUUCUACCUGUUCCAUAGCUUUUCAUCUCUACUAUCUAAAAAAAUUUAAGUCUAUAUUCUCUCUCUUUUACCAGUAUCAGUCAACCAGGGUAAUAGUUUUCUGUUUGUUAAGAAGCUUUCAUCCAUAAUUAUGAGUUUAAUACCAGUAUCAAUCAUUUGGUAAAGAACCAUUAAAGGGGAUGAAACUGCUAAUAAACUAACCUGAUGUGUUGAAUCUACCACUCCACUUUGAGCUAUCUCCCCUAGUAAAGCACUAGCAAUCCCCACACCAAUAUCAUCUGGCGGCAUUAAGUCUCGUUUCGCAUCAUCUGCAAGGCCAGAAGUAUCGUCAUCCCUCACUUGAGAAACAGCAGUGUCUACAGAAAUGAAACAACCAGACGUAGUUUCCGCAACCAGAGAAAUCCCAUAUCCAGGAGAGCUGCAACAGCAAAUGACAAAUAAAAGGAAUUACAUUUUAAUACAAUACAAUAUGACUUGCACUUUUCUACCAAAUAUAUUUCCACAAUUCAAAUUUAAAUAUUCAACAAUUUCCACUGAAUGGAAGGAAUCAUACUUACUUUCCAGCCUCAGGACCUGAUCUGUGAUCAGAGAAAAUGUGCACAUCAGAAACCAGCGGAUUGAUGAUUCCACGGGCAGCUUUAAUCAUGCCAUAUUCAAACUGAACAGACACUCUUGUUGAAAAAGAAGUUCCCCUAAUUUUCCUCACAAAACCCUCAUCAAUCCAACUAACCGCCUGUUGGAAAGAACAUACAUAUAUAAGGCAUUAAAAAAAUUUAAAUUAACCAUCAAAUCAAAUUAUCAAAAAUUCAGAAACUUACCGUUAGACUCUGAACAACAGGAACAGACAAAAGAACUUCACCACCACCAUUGGGAGGUAAUCCACGACUCUCUACUUUAAUCUCCAAGCCUUCAGAUGGAACUCCAAAGCGCUUCAAUAUAGGUAAAGUCGUUGACUUGAAGGUAUCAACAGAUGGAUCUUUAGAAUCAUUUGUAAUUCCUGUGCGAACAGUUUUUUUUAGAUUUAAAGUUUAAACCACCACAAUAUCUUCGUUUUUCUACAUAAAUAGGAAGUAGAAUACAAUUACUAUUAUACCUUUGAGCCUGAUAGUAAGGGGCUGUUUGGCAAACAAACACAACACAAUGAGUGGCUCCAGAAAGUAACCAAUGGACCGUGAGACGCCGCAAUCGUGUGGACUGUGUUGUCUGCCACCCAUAAUAGUUCCCGGUUUGUACUUUAAUUUGGUACCUGCCCAAACCAAACAGAAUGAAUAAUCAAACGGUCGUUGGUUCGAAUCCCCUCGCUAACAUUCUAAUAUGAAACUAAGAAACAAGAAACAUAAGAUUUGGCGAUAAAUAAUUAAGAAAAUGGUUACCGGUUUCGUUGAUUUCGACGUGGCAAUCGUCGCAGACGGUUUCGAAGAGUCGGAGGAGAGAAAUUUCGUGGUUGCGGAGGCCGGGCCAUGUCUCGUCGGCGCGAAUGUCCUCGAUGAGAAUGGGAGUGGAGGAGAGAGUAGAGAGAAGAAGGCGUUGCCUGAAGCUCUGGCUUCCCUUCAGCCUCUUGUAAGCCGUUUUCCCCAUUCUGUGCAGCAACUCAAACUCACUCGUGCCAACUUUAUCAAGCUGCACAUAUUUAUACGGACGGUUUUCGGGUUCAGACUCGGUCUAUUUUUUUGUUGUAGGGUUUCUAAAGUGUGACUCAAUCUGGGCCAGUCGCCCAUUCUUAUUGGUCCCAACACUAUUGCUAUUUGUCCCUUUCAAGUGGCUCAAUUUUAUUUUUCUAAAGAUACCCUUUCCACAUAAUCAUGUUUUUUUACGUGAAAAUGUGUUUUCAUUUUAUAUUUUGUUCGCACCCCGCACUAUAAUGGAAACAUGAUUCUCUAUACAAAUUUUGAAACGGAAUUACGAUUCCAUUUUAGAUUUUGAACACGGAAUCACAAUUUCAUUUUUUUUUUGUUUUAACUUUAAAUAAAAAAAACAAGGAAAACAUGAUUCUGCGUAUAAAAUAUAAAAGGAAAACAUGAUUUUGUUUCAGAUUUUAUACGCAAAAUAAGAAAAGAUUUGGUUCGAUGAAUGGGAAAAGAAAGGGUGCAAUGGGUUUGAAUUAAGGGGCAAAAUUAUCUCUCCAUGAGCUUUAAAAGUUGAUAAGGGUCCAUAGCAAUUAUUGUUGGAGUCAACAACAACUCUUUGUUUGGUUUCUCAAGGAAUUGGACUUCAAACAAUUACUAAUGGCCCAAGCCUUAUAUGCUGAAGGGAGUUGAUAUUGGCAUCAACCAAAAUUGUUGUUGACUCUUACAAAACUUUAAAAUCCCUAAAAGAAAUUAUUUUAUCCCUUUGUUCAAACAGUCUAUUCCUCCUUCUGUCUCCUUCCUCCUACAUGUGCCCCUUUCUUUUCACCCGAUGUUAAAUGCACAACAAAAACACAAUUACACUGAUAUUUAUUGAAAUACACAAUAGAAUUAUAUUUUUAUUUUAUAUUCUUAAAACAAUAAACAAAUAGAUAAUGUGAAUAUGAUUUUAUUGUGAUCUUCAUAUUUUUGUUUUGUUUUUUUUUUGUUUUUAUGAUUUUUUUAUCAGUUAUAAAUGUAAGUUAUUUUUUUUAAAAUAAUCAAAUUAAUUGUGAUAUAAUUUAUCAUUUUUAAUAGUACUUAGUAUCUUUUUGGCUAAAAUGUAAUGCUUGUUUCUCUAAUUUUUAAAAUUCGUAAUUUUGGUCCGUAAAUUUUAAUUGUAAUGUUUGGUCUCCCUCCCCAAGUCUUAUAAAGCGGUGAUUUUGGUCUUCCAGGUAGACGAUUAACAAAUAAUUUAGAUUAGUUUAGGUAUUAAAAUAAUUAUGAAUUAACCAAAGCUAUUAAUUAUUAAAAAAUGAAUAAAAAUUAUUAAUCAUAAUUUCCCAUAACACUAUAUUCCUCUUCUUCUCCACAAACACUUCUUCAACCUCCUCCACUAUUGCACGUGACAAAUAGAUAGUAAUACCACAUUAGGAUUAAUAGUCUUUUAUUAAAUUUUUUAAUGAUUUAUAAUUUUUAAUUAAUUUAAUAUCUCUAAUAGUCAUAAUUAUUAGUUAAUAAUCUAUCAGGGGACCAAAAUCGUAAAUUUAUGAUACUAAGGGAACUAAAUGUUACAAUUAAAAAUAAAGGAAAUCAAAAUCAUGGAUUUGAAAAAUUAAAAAACUAAAAUUACAAUUUAACCUAUUUUUAAAAUUAGAAUUAAAUUAAUUGGAUACAAGUUAUCAUUUAUAAAGAUAAUCAAAUUAAUUAUUAUAAGAAUUAAGUUUAUUACAAUUAAAAAAGUAAUUUAUGUCAUCAUUAAUUUAAAUAUAAUUUAUGUAAUAAUUAAUUUAAUUACUAUUAAAAAAAUAAUAUAUGUCAUCAUUAAUAUAAUUUGUAUAAAAAUUAAUUUAAGUUAAAAAGAUAACUUAUUUGUUACAAUUCGUAAAAAAAUACCUAACGGUAUAAAAAGGAUCGGAGGUACUAUUUAAUAAUAAAAAAUUUCAACUCUUAUGUGUGAUAAAAAAAACGUAUUCCAAAAUCAUUGUUAUUUUAAAUUUUUAAUAUAAUAUUAACUAUUUUUUAUUUAUAUUCCUUAUAAUAUUAAUUAUAUGAUCUAUGAAAACAAAAAAAAAUAAUGAGGAUAAGAUUAAUUUUGUAAAAUUAUUAUUAUUUUUUAUUUAUGUAAUGAUUUUCCAUGUAUGAGACUCAAUAACUAAGAUAUUAAUACAUAUAAUAAUAAUUUUAGAGGGGCCAGGCUAGUAUGCGGGGGGGAGGCGGGGUCACGUCCUUGUUUUUUUUUUUUUUUUUUUUUUUUUUUUUUUUUCUUUUUUUUUUUCUUUUUUUUNNNNNNNNNNNNNNNNNNNNNNNNNNNNNNNNNNNNNNNNNNNNNNNNNNNNNNNNNNNNNNNNNNNNNNNNNNNNNNNNNNNNNNNNNNNNNNNNNNNNGCCGCGCGAGUUGAAUGACAUUAUUCCUGACAAUUCAAUAUACUAAUACUUGCAUUUACUUUUUAUAAGAGUAACAAGGAAUUCAUUUAUAAAACAUGUACAAAAGAUUUGUAUUUUUUUAACAAAACAAAAAAAAAAUAUAUUUAGUAACAUAGAGAUAUUAAUACAUUUAUAAGUUAUAACAAACAAUAUAUUUUUCUUGGGACGGCAGCAAACAAUAUCUUGGAACGACAUAUCAAAAACUUUAUAAAGUUAUAUUGGACAACAUAUUUUUAACUAUUUUUUACUUUUUUAUUAAGGGAAAAACUCAUUUGAUUGUUUGAUAAAUAAUUUUUUUUUUAUUUUUAAUGUUUUUUGAAAUAUUAUUUGAAGUAACCCUUUUUAAAAUAUUACCUUCUAAUUUUUAUUUUUUUUAUAUUUUAUUUCACUUUUAUUAUUGAUAUAUUUAUUUAAAUUUUUUAUUAUCUUUCUUAAAUAAAUCAUAAUUUUAUUUUUUUUAUAUUAUUUUACAUUUUUCAACUUUUAAUUGUUAAUUUUAUCAAAUACUUUUAAUUUAAUAAGUUAUUUUUUUAAUUUUUAGUUACUAGCUUGUCUAUAUGUUUCAGUUAACUUUUAAAUUAAUUUUAUCAAACAAAUAUAAAUAUGUCUAUUUUUAUCAUUUUAUAUUUCUUAACUACUUCAAUAAAUAAUUUUAUCGAAUAUCUAUGAUUAAAUAAGCUAGUUUAAAAUAGUUUGCAGCAAUUAUUAACUUUUUUAACUUUUAAUUGAUUUUUUGGCUUUUAGUUAAUUGUUUACCUACAUUUGACAAACAUAAUUUAAUCCACAUAAUUAAAAAGUUACUUUUCGAACAUCGUCUAAUGCAAACAUAACCUACUUUUGUGAGAACACAUUUUUAUGGCAAUCCCAUACAUCUAUGUAACAUUCACGGCUACAGAAACACGUUUUAUAUCAAUUUUGGAAGACAUUUUACAUUGGUUCCAAAUUCAAUGUAGUAUAACGCGAUGUUAAAUGUAGGAAAGAUUCUGCAUAUAUCACAAAACAGAUGCAGAAUCCCCAAUUUCUACAUCAAUUCCUCCAAAUUCUCCAAUCCAAAUAACUAGGACAUAUAUGAAUAUUGAGAAAGUGUAAAAGUAUAAAGUAAUCUUCUAUGUUAAAGCAUGUGAAAUUGAUCUAGAUGUUUGAUUUGUUGGAUUGGAGAAUGGUGAAAAUUUGAUUUCCGAUAAAACUAAAGUUGUUUGACAUUAUGUUUCAAGGUAGAGAAGGAUAGGACUAUCCUAGAAAUUGAGGCUACAAAUUAUAACAAAACUAGUCUUCGAAUAACAAGCACUAGAAUUGCAGAAUGCUUAUAUACGACAUGAUCAUGAUCAGGGGCGAAACCAAAAUAAAGUGCAAGGGGGAAAAUCUUUAUCGCAAUAUAAGUAAAAUUACCAAUAACGAAUUUCAUUAAUCGUUUAAAAUUUAGACUAAUUAAUGAAGAACAAAAGAUCAUAUAUCAAAUGAAAGUAAAUAUAAGUAUUAUUGAUGCAAAGAAGACACGCAUACAAACAAACAAAAAAAUAUAUUUUCAAUCAUUAAGAUUAUGAUCUUUAAUUUUUGAUUUGAUAAAACUCUUCUAUAAUUAUUUAACAAAGGCCAAGCAAUCUUGAGUGAUUAUUCAGAAGAGUUUCAGCAAGUAGACACUUUCUCAAACACUUCAUCACCAAAUGUUUCAUGAAUUAUGCUAAGAGCAUAUUGAACCAUAUAUUAUGCUAAACACAUUUUUUAUUCAUUCAAUAUGAUGAGAUGUUUCUAUAGAAUUCUUCUCUUAAUCUCUAAGAUCUAUUAUAACCUUUCUUCUCCCAAACUUAUUUAAGCUUUUUUUUAUUGUCUUGAUAUUUUUAUUCUCUUAUUCUGAUUUUUAAUUAAUUUAUAAUAAAAUAAAUAACAUUUGAAUUAUUUUUCAUUGAUGAAUAAUCUAAUCCGUGCACAAUACAUAAUAAUAAGAAUUUAUUUGAAUAAACUUUUCAUAGGAAGAUAUAGAAGGAGAAAACUAAAAAGAAAAAUGAAAUAAGCUUAUGGAAAUAUAAGUUAAAAUUACUUUAUGCAUAAAAUACUUUAUAAAAACUCUCUCAUAUAUGUUUUAACUUUUGUAAAAGAUGAUUUUUAACUUAUACGUGGGUUAUUAGAAAAAUCUAUCCUGGCAUACCCAAAUUAUAUAAUAAAAUCUCUUCAUAGCUAGUGAUCAAUUUGAUAAAUUGAUAAUAUCCUAAUGAAACAACAAAUAAAGAUAAAAAUAACUAUUGUCAUUAAUCUGCAUUUCCAGAUAUUACUUUUCAUGCUACUUUGAACUAAUAAAGGAGCAAAAAUUAUUCAUCCCCUUGAUCACCUAUAUGAUUUUAUAAAGAGAUUAAAGCAAGGUCAUUAGAUUUAAUUAAACUAGCCCACCAAAGGAAAAAAGAAAAGAUUUUGAAUUUAUAAAAAUAUUAGGUAGAUCUCUUUAGUAGAUUGGCAAAAUAAAUAUGAUUUUAACCUUAGCUUCAAUUGUGUCAUUAUAUAUGUAAAACAAUCUACUAUUCCGAACCUAAUAUAAGUAAAUUAACUAACUUAGGAUUUAAAAAAUUAGUUAAUAUCAUUAAAUUUUUUUAAUAACAUUUAAAAAAUAUUUUUUUCUGAAGUACUGUUCAUUAAUUAGUACUUGAUAUUAAGAAUAAAAAUGAGUUAUUAAAAUUAUAAUCACAAUCAAUUAAAAAGUAUUUUUGUGAAUGACGAUGUCAAUAAAAAGGAUGAAAAUAAUUAAAAAUACUUAUAUUUGAGAUUAUUUUUUUUUAUUAUAUUUAGGUCUAAAGAGAGUAUCAAUCAACAAAAUAGCUAGGUAAAUUGUUUAAUGGAUCUUCCAAAUUCAGGGCAACGACUUUGAAGUACCAACCUAUUGCUACAAAUAAUUUAAUUAGAGAUUAGAGAAAUAAAACCUACUUUUCUGUAGUAAUUACAAUCACAAAACUUCAACAGCUGUACAAUGCAUAUUGGGAAGCUUCAACAUUUCUGUCUUAAAAUUAUUAUUUUCUAGCAUCAGAUCCACUGUUAGCAGUGAUGCUCUAGGCUUUGGUUUUGGCAUCACCACCUCGGAAUACCCCAUCAUUGAAUUAAGUGAUGAAGUAGUUGUUGAGGUGUUCCUUUUGCAUGAACCUAGCCACUUAGCUUGCAUGUACUUGUGCUUCCUCCAUGGUCCCAUGUGCAUUUUGUUUUCCUUCAUGCACUUUUUUGCUCCCAUACACAACACCUUGAUGAUGUUGCUUAAUCUCUCUAUUUUCCCCACGUACACCUCAGGGAGCUUGCUCACUAGCCCGUUGUACUCUUCACUUGCCCUUGCCAUCUCAAACUCUGCUCGAAAAUUCAGUUCUAUGAUCACCCUAACUUCUUGCUUUUUGCUUGUGCUGUCUAUUACAUCUAGGAAAGUAUGCUCUCCUGCACAGUUAAUUGUAAAAUUAAGUUAGCUUUUCAUUUCUUUAAUUGCUACUUAUAUGUGUCAUUUUUAUUCAUAGAAAUUCGACUCCUAUAUUUUUUUUUUUACAAUAACACAUACUGUUUCACUAACUAAAUUAGACACUGAAUUACAUGUAUCCGUCUAUCAAAAAGUUUGAAGUUAUUAAUUAUUUUUGUGAGGGACUAAUAAAUUUAAAGUUUGUUUGUACCGAACACCUUAAUUAAAUAGUUACUAGGAAGCCAAGUUGUCCUAGAAAAUAUGUAUGCACCUAAUGCCUAAUAUAAAUUAUAACUGACAUGGAAAAUGAUAUAAUUAUUUUUUAUAAUAGAGCUACAAAGGAAAGUGACAAUAGCUAUUGAUAUGAAAGUGAUUUCUAGAUUAAAAAAUAAAUGAGAUAACGUUGUUAAUUAAUAAUAGUUUCUUUCUGAUUAUAUAUGUUAAUUAUACAUACAUAUAUAUAUAUACCUAUCAAGAAGGCUUUUUUUUCAAUUUUUAAAACAUGAAAUAGGAAAAAGUGUUACGAAUGUCAAAAAGGGAAAAAGAAUCAAAAGGUACAUUUGUUGGAAUGAAUGUAUAUUGUCUUUGACUAAUUCUUGAAUAGGGAACAGAUAGAGUUUUUUUGUUUAUUAUUUUUAUAAUGCAAUAUAGCUGUUUACCUGAUGGAAUAUUACUUGGUGAGCUUCUCCAUUUUGUUUUGCAAAUGGCACUGUUAUAACCAGAAUUCUGAAGGCGUCUUGAGACUUCUAUAAUGAAGCAGUUUCUACAGGAUCUGGAAAUUAUCUGUCUACUGCAACUGCACACUAUUUCUGCGUUUUGUAUUUCCUGAACGGCUUCUUUGGUGGCAUUCCUUAUCCUUGACUCAAUAGAAGUUGAUCUAUAUAGGUAGUUCUGCAUAAUUAAAUAGAAAAACCAACUUGGUCAAAACCAACGCGUCUAAAACCUCAUAAGCCAACUAAGAUUUUGGAGCAACAAAAUGGAAAUGAUAAAACUACUAAUCAAAAUUACGUUUUAAAUCAAAAUGAAAUUAAUUAUUAACGAUGUAUUAAAUUCUAAUUAACAAGAUAUUUCAAAUUUUAAUCAUGUAUUUCAUGUUCAUAUUUUUCAGUAUAUAUACGUUAAACCCAGUUUAUUUUAAAAAAUAUAUUUUUUUCUUUUUUUCUCAAGAAAAAGUUUAUAACUUAAUUAGAAUGCAUCGAGAAUAUGGAAGAAAAAAAAUAGUAUAUCAUCUACUCACAAAUUUUCAAAUAUAAUAAGUUUGUCGAUGUUAAAAAUAAUUAAAAUCAUAUCUGAUAUAAAUCUUGUUGAGUUGAAAUGAUAAAAAAUCUCUAUGCAAACAAUGGAUAUAUGGAAUUGGAUACUAAACUCAAACUUUUGAAAUAAAAGAAUUGGAUACUCUAAACACAGGCUUUAGCUUCUGUAACUUGAAUUUAAAUUUGCAGAUUUCAAGUAGUUCAAAACUUCAUUGAAACAUGCAUGUGGGAGAUAAGAAUUAAUGAAGUACCAAUAAAAUUAAUUGAUUGAUUAAUUUCCUUUGCAUGUAUUAACGUUGAUCUAUUGAACAAAUCAAACAAAGAAAGAAUCAAAUACCAGAAUCAAUUAAUCAAGAACAUUAUGCCAUGUUAGUUAAUUAAUUACCUGCAAAAGCUGGUGUUGAUUAUCCCAAAAGCUUCUAUUCUCCUCAACGCUGCCACCAUCAACCCUCUCACCAUCAUCAUCAUCAUCCAAUUCCAUUUCAUUGGAUUGACGAAACUCAUCGCCAGAACUUUCAUCACUUUUGACCAACGACAUCAUCAUCUCACCAUCAUCGAGAAAUUCAAACUCCACAUCUCCAACUCCAAGUUGUAGUUUCUCGCACCCCAAUGAUUCCCUUCGGGGUAGAAACCUCGUGACUCCUCCUCGGACCAUAGAGGUAGCACCCAUUUAGAACAACACAACAACCGAACAAGGUGGUCUUCUUUCUUUUACUAAAACAAAUUAGAGUGUGGAAAUUGGAUUAAGGAAAGGGUUAUUUAUAUAUACGAAAAAAAAGUGAGUAGUGGUGAGAUAUAUCAAUCUCUAAUCGCCGCGCACAUGUAAGGGUAGAUUCUGGUAGCAUAUACGUAGUGGCGUGACCCUAUUGGUUCAUUUAUUAAUAUUUGGGGUGAAAUUCAUAUACAGCAUGGAUCCACGUCAGUGGUUUGCAAUAAUUUCAUCCAACUCAUCAUCAUCACACUGUUGCAAACCAUGUUGAUCCUGAUCUAAUUAGAACAGCGGAGAAUGAUAGAGAGAGAGAAAAGCUUAUACGUUGCAAUUGCAAGCUCAACUAUAUUUUGGGCUUAUCUCUUGUGGGGCUUACUUGUCGCUUUGUCCUUUCAAAUAAAAAUUAUAAUCAUGCAUGUGUAUGAAAAAAAAACUGCCAUGUCAUAAUUAAACAGCAAUAUGCAUAUACGUUUCUUCAUGAUUGUUCCAAUAACAGAAAGAGUUUUGGUUAAUCAAUAUUAAGACAUUAAUUAAAAAAAUAUUUAUUAUUAAAAUUAUAAGAGAAAAUAAAAAAAAAUUAUGAAUAAUAUAAAUUUACGUAUCAAUAAUAAUUUUUUUUUAAUUCUUUAACCAAUGUGUGAAGACAUUGGUUAGAUUUGUCUACUAGAAAUGUUAUAUAAUUAUUAGUUGUUAAUUAAUAACAAAUAGGGGCGAUUAACUAAUUACAGAUAGUUCAGUACAAAUAAAACUGAUUCAAAUAAUAACGUUUCUAGGUUUCUUGAAAUUGUGACUCAUACUCCCGCAAAAAGUUCACUUUUUUUAUUUGGUAAAGAUUAAAGAAAAUUAAUGUAAUCAUUCAUAUGUAACAACUACAUAUAAAAUAAAUAUAUUAAUAUGGUGUUAAUAGAUUGAUAAAAAAACAUUGUCUUUUUUAAGCAUGUGAUCAUAAGUUUUAUUUCCAGUUGAAAAAAUUGAUUUCUUUUUGUAAGUAAUAUAUAUAUAUAUAUAUAUAUAUAUAUAUAUAUAUAUAUAUAUAUAUAUAUAUAUAUAUAUAUAUAUAUAUAUAUAUAUAUAUAUAUAUAUAUAUAUAUAUAUAUAUAUAUAUAUAUAUAUAUAUAUAUAUGGUAGGUACCAGUCAGCAAUACCAAUUUUGAUAACUCAGAAAUUUCCCUCACUAAUAUUCUGCCAUCAUAAUCAGCCAGACACAUAUUGCCAUCAAGGCAUCCCUAUAGACACACUUAUCCACAACUUCCCAAGGCCCAAUACAAACAGACAGUAGCAUGUCUGUCUGCAUGUGUGUCGAGUACAUGAGAUGAUAUCUCCAAACACAUUCAAUUAGGCCACAUCAUACCUUCUGCUACAAACUCUGUAAACAUACCAGUGGACACCUAUACCAUUUAUAGAAUGAAAAAAGAGAAAGAGUUAGAUUUGUUGGUGUUCCACAAUCAAGAUUUAAAUGCAAGACUUUCGAACACCUUAUCAACAUCUAGUAAACUUUGAUCAAAGAUAAUCCGAUUUCUAUGGUUCCACAGUUCCCACACUGAAGCACACCACAUCCACCACCCACCACCAAGCAAGCAAACCUCCCUUUCUCAAGUGGUAACACUCACGUUGGAAGAAAUGAGUUGUAGGAUCUUCAUGUUAUGAGAAAGAGAUGCCUACCCAGCAAUAAAUACAAUUCCACAUCUUAGUUGCAAAUGUGCAUGUAAAUAAUACGUGAUUUACAAACUCCUCCUGAUCUUGGUAAAAACUGCACAGAUAACCCAGUUCAUUAAGUGCCACACCUCAUUUUUUGAGAUUCUCUUUUAUAAGUAAUUUAUUAAGAGAGAUCCUCCAAACAAGUGCAGCAAUAUUUAAUGGGAUAUGCAAGCUCCAUAACAGAAUAAAACCUGGUUGGAACAUUCUCUACCACCUCCAUUUUUGUCAAAUAAGUCGAGUUAACCGUAUAAGUUGAGUUGAAAAAAUUGAUCUCUUAAAAAAAAUCUCUAUACGUACCUCAAAGUAUAUUAUAUUAAUCACGAGCUUUCACUUAAGAAUAUUCUAAAAUCAUAAGAAAAAAUUAAAAAUUAUAAAAUAAAUAUAUUAGUGACGAAGAAAAAUAAAAAAGACAAAAAGGGCAGAGUUUUAAAUAUCACUUAUUGGGGGUAUAAUAAUGAAAGAAGUUGAAGUACCAACCACUAUCAUGAUAACUUUAUUAUAGUAAAGUGUACGUGGAAUUGGAAAUUUUUUUAUUUGGGAUUGACAUGGAUAAAUCCGCUUGCUAGUGUCAAAGGAUUUGUAUGUAAAAAAUUCCUUAAUUCAAAGUGGAGGGUUUAUUUGUAAUUUUGUUAAGGACACAAUAAUUGGAUUGGCAGCACUGCAGUAGCGUAAGUGCGAAACUUUGAUGAUGCAUGCUGCGCCGCGUAAGUUGCACAAAAGACAAAUUUGAAUGAACGUUCUCGUGGGGGAAUCUCAGGUUGGGACUUGAAAGCCAACCUUUUUCUAGUUCAGUGUUUUCCUUGUUUUCGGCAUGAUUAAUUGCUUCUUUCUCAGAGAUUAUUCAUCAAUAUUUUAUGUAAUUAUGAUUGUUUUUUCAUCUUAUUCUUAACCGUCAAAUUCUAUUCGAUCACUUGGGUCUUGUUUCAGAAACGUGAUGGAAGAGUUUGUAAAAUUGUUAGCAUCAUGGAAUCAAAAUAUCACGAGGCAGGGUUGUUGCAAUGUUACAUUGAAUCAAUGAAGUUAGCCUAAAAUCACCAUUUAUUUUACAUAUUCUUGAUCAUAUUGCUUCUUUCGUGUUAGAAUAAUUAUCGUUAUAAAUUUAUAUAAAUUAAUAAAAAGUAAUAAAUAAAUAAUUUUAUAAAAUUAACUUUAUAUCAUCAUUAAUUUAUUUAUAAAUUUUGUUAUUUAUCAUUAAUAUUAUAAGAAAUAUGAAUGAAAAAAAUAAUUAAUAUUACAUUAAAAAACUAAAAUAAAAAAUAUUUUUGAAAAAAAUAAUCUUACACAACAAUUAUAAUAAAACAAAAAGAAUAUGAAGAAUUAAUAAGAAUGAAAUUACAAAUAAAACUCAAACACAUAUUUUGAAGUAUUUUGGAUUAGUAUCUCAAUGUACGACAUGAUUCAGUUGGGCUAGACCAACAAGCCGAGAAAAGGGCAUGUGAUUAUGUGAAACAUGCAUUACCCUUGACCUUGAGGCAGGUCCCGAGGAUCGUGUGACCAUAACCAGGGGUGGAGCUUGAAAUUUGGCUUGAGGGAGACCAAGAAAAAAGUAUAAUUUAAUAAAUAAAGUUUACAUUUUUUUACGCAUAAAAUAUAAUAAAAAGUUAUAAUAUAUUAUAUAUUCUAUUUUAAAAAAAAUAUGUUUAUAUAAAAUAUAAAAAUAAUACUAUCUUUUAUUCUUUAGACAAGAGACAAUAGAUUAAUCUCUUUAGUUAUCAACAAAGUCUAAUACAGUUAGUAGAUAAUUGAGUUUCUUAAACAUGUUGAUAUAGAGUUUCAUUCUUUAGUCAUGCAUAUGAAGAAGAUUUUAUUGGAAGAGACAAAACACUUUUAUAAUUUCUAUGUCUUGAGGGUUAAUUUAUGAUUUUCGGUUAUGUGAAUAUUUUGUUUCUAGGAAAAAAAAUCUCUUGAUUCUAAUUAUAGAAACAUAAACUCAUUUUUAAAUGUAUUAAUUAUAUGUUUUCUUUUAUACCCUUAGAUAUUCAUUCGGAAAUUUAUUAAUAAGACACUAAAUUAUUUCACAAGUAGAUACAUUCAUUGACCUAAUAACAUUUUAAGUUACACUCGGUGGUAAAAAAGUUAUUCAUUAAAUUACAAAUAAUGUUAUCAAAUAUAAUUACUAUUAAAAUUAAUUAAUUCUUGAUAUUAUUAAUUAAAAUUAACUAGCUUAAUUAUUUUAAUUGAAUUUAAUAAAUUAAUUAUUUGUUAUAUAUAAAUAGAGAUAGUAAUAUAUGAGAACAAAAUAAAUUAGAUAGAUAAAAUAAUUUUGGAUGAUUAUAUAUCGACAUCUCAACAUCACAAAUAUUCCAUUAAAAAUUAUAAUUUUUAAAAUAAGAGUGAAAUUUUGGUCUAACAAGAGAUUGAAGACAUGUCCCUUAUUAGUUACUAAAAAAUUCAAUUUCCAUUAGAUCAACGUUAAUUAUUAAAUAUUAGAUGACAAAAAUAAUAUUUAUAUACUAUAUUUUUUUUAAAAAAAGUAUAUAUUUUUAUUUAAAAUAUGAAAUAUGGAUUGAUGAUAUUUUGUUAAUUAUAUUAUAUCAUAUAUUUUAUAAUUUUUUAAUAUAUAUUGAAUUAAUUGAACUAAUUAGUAAUCUACCGGUUUGACCUCUAAUUUAUUGAUUCAGUCCUUCCAUGGAAUUGAUGUUCGGAUCAAUUUUGAUAACACUAAUUUCAUGUAUAAUUUUUUUAACAUAUAUUUUUUUUUAUAAAUUUUAGGAAAGCCAUAAAAUUAUUUUUAUAAUAAUUAAAACACUUUUAAAAAAGUGUGUGGGGGUGGGGGAUGGAAUGGCCCCUACGAGUCCCCUUUCCCUCGACCUCUAACUCUGUUAUUGCCUAACUAACUUUUCUUUUCUAAAUUUGAGCAUUUAAAUAAACACUACAAGUAUAACCAUUUAACUUUGAUCUCAUUUACACACAUUCUUCUUCCUCUGAAACGGACUUAAACAUCGGAGUAUUUGUAGAUGUACCACAUGAUAUUGUACUUUGCCGUUUGAAGUCAAGAUCUACACCGAAACUUUGUAUGAAUUAUAAUAUUGACUUAAUUAAUUAGUAGUUGAAAAAAGAAAGAAAAAGAAAAAAAAAUAUCAAUUCAAAAUUUUCUUAUUAAAAAAAAUUAAUAAAUUAAUAAUUAAUAUUUCUCUAUAAAAAUAUUUUGCCGUGACAAUGCAUCUAUGAUUCCACCUAACAGCAGAAAGAAUGUACUUAAGAAGGAAUCACCACUAAAACAUUUUGAAUUUAGUUAAAGUCAGCAUCAAGAAUCAAACACUUCGGAUCAGUUCAAACAUAAUCUUCUUUCGUUUAAUAUUUUUUUCACGUAUCAUGUGUGUGAUGAUUGACAUAUGGGUCAACAUGUGCCAACACCAAAUAUUGAAUAUGCAUCAUGCAUAUAUGUUUAAUUUCCUUAUAUGCAAUACAUUAAUUAAUUGAUAUAACUUUUUUAUUUAUUAUAUUUCUUACCCUGUAAUCUUUUUAUUGGUGUAUAUCAAUGUCGACGUACACACAUGAUGAUGAUGGAACACAGAUCUCUGAUUAUUAGCAGAAAACAAUGCUUCCAAACAGAUAAGAUAAGUAUCAUGUGUGCAAUCUGGCCUUUCGAUCAACUUCAGGCCAUGCUGUUUGGUUAUUUUUUAGGUGCUAGCUGUGUGAGUCAGUGAAUGUUAGUGUUUCUUCUGUGGUGCAUAACACAAGUCCACGUAGUGACCAAUUCAUUGUAUGGCUAUAUAUUGAACAUCCAGGUAAAGUACCACGUGGUUUGUGUACAUGUGCUUCCUUCAUUUACAAUCGAAAACAUAUAAAUAGUCAAAAAUAUUUUGUUUGAGUUGAUAUCUAAAGAUAUCAUAUUAUAUAAUUUUUUUUUAACUUAAUCAAUGAGAAAUUAUGUGAAAUGCAGUGAUCGACAAUAUAUGAAAUGCAGUAGUGACAAUAUGUACUAAAUUAUAUGAAAUUAUUAUGAUACAUAAGAACAAUAAAUAUAGACUAUUAGGAAGAAAGUUUAAUAAAUAUCUGUGGAGGUAAUUAAAUGCAUCCGUAAUUUUUUUUUUACAAACCCGUGAUUACUUAUUUAAGGUUAAUGGUAAACUGUAAACUUAUAUACAUUGCAUUUUUUUAUUUGUAGAUUAUUUUUUAUGCUGAUACAUAGAAAUUGAAGACACCUAAAAGAGAAUUUACAGCAAAUCAUACAUUUUUCUAAAUCAACUAAAUUAGAUAUCUUGGUGCAUUUGAACACCUAAGACAAUUUCCGGAAAAAAAAAUACACAUCCUAAAAUCUUGUAGUUAUUGUCCAGAUUACCACCCUAAAAUCUCAUUUUAUGUAUUACGGGGAACAAAAAAGUUAAACCCUAGUUGAGACAGAUGGUGUCAUUUGGAUUUUAGUACUAAAAAAUUGAAACCUAAAAUCAUCACUUUUUUUUUUCUUCAGAAAUCAGCCAGGCUCGCCAGUGUAUGGCCUUUGGGCUUCUGUUUCUCGUCUUUGGGCGAUUAGCCUUUUGCUUCUGUGAUGUAAUGACCCAAAGCAAUAAAACUUAAAAAAUUGGCGUCUUUCAAAAAUAAUAAAUAAAAAAAAGAAAAUUUGCACCAGCCGGGAAUCGAACCCGGGUCUGUACCGUGGCAGGGUACUAUUCUACCACUAGACCACUGGUGCUUGUUGCCUUAUUCUUUUUAUUUAUUAGAUAAAUAAACAUAAGUCCAUGAUUAGAUUGGUUUAUUCACCUUACAUUAGGAUGUGUGUGAGGACAAUAAAAAUAGGAAUGAAAAAUUGUACUGCUUCCAUCUGUCGUGAAAUUUCAGCCAUAAAUUCUCACAUUCCAUAAUUUACCAUGCAAUAUAUAUAUACUUUGGCAGUUGUUGUGAAAGCCUGAAACCCCUUAUAACUUAUUCAUGUCAUUUAUACAAUUUCUAAUCUCAUAUUUCUAAGAAAAGUUUAAAGUCAAAACUUUUAUCAUUUUAUUUUACUUCGUUUUCUAUUGUUCAUUAAUUAUUUUAUUUAUUGGUCAUACAUUAUAUUCAUCCAUCGAGUUAGAUUCGCUCAAUACAUAUAAUAUAUUUAAAAGAGUAAAUUAUAGUCACAAUUUUUUUGUUUUAUGUGAAAUGUGUCUAACAUUACUUCUUUUUGGGGAUUUACAGAAAAAUUCCUAAUUAUUUGGUUUUAGUAUUUAACAAGUCAGGUCAUUUUUUAAAAAAUUAACAUCAAAUCAAUCUAUGUAAAUAAAUUAUUGUUGUAUUAAUGGUCUUACACUUAAUAUUUUGAUAUUACAUACUUGUUAAUUUAUUUAAUACUUAAAUUCAUUAGUUUACAAAUAAGUUUCAUUUAUGUACUUAUUUAGAGGUAUGUUUGUAAGUUAUAAAUAAAUGAACCUUAUUAUAAAGUUUUUUUUUUUUGAAAGGCAAGCAUCCAACUUAUAUAAAUGAUAACAGCCACAAAAUAUAGCCCAAAGAGAAAAUACAAUAAUCAAGAUCCAAGAAAAGACAGAAAUAAAAAAGAAUCAAGAAAUGAUUCAACUAGCAAAGGAUAAACCACUUGAACAAAGCCCUUUGUACUUGGACCAAGUCCAAGACAAAGUUUGGAUAUGCCAAAUCACAUUCUCUAUUAAACAAGUUUUGUCAAGCUUUUAGAAAGGUUAGGUCAAAUAAAAAUCUUCGUACUAAGUAAAUAGUUCAAUUUAAUUUGAAAAACAUGUCGACUCUAUCCUUAUAAAAUUUAACUUAAUUUUUUUCUCCCUUAACUGUAUUGGCUUAGAGAACAUUUUUUUAAUAAAAAACAAAAAAAAUAUGAAACCAGAUAUAAUUGAAUAUUACAUAUUACAAUUAGUCAUAACUCGUGAAUAUAAUUACGUAUCACAAUUAAUUAUACUAUGUAAUUAUAAUUGGCAAUAUAUAAAUUAACUUCUUGUCACCUAGGAUGCUAGCAAAAUACUCCCUGUCCAUUUGAAAGGAGUAUAUGUUCUUACAAUUAAUUUGCCAACAACUAAUUAACUGAUAUUGAAUUUAAACAUUUGAAAUUUGAAUGGACCAUCUCCCUUUCCAUUUUUCUUCUUGGGAACUAGAUCUGGAUUCUGGAGGAGUUAAGCCUCAAAAGUAAAAAUCAUACAAGAAAGGAAACUCCAAAACUAACAUGCAUGCCAAAGAAACUUGAACAAUAUAGAACAAUAGCAAUUCGUCAGCCAAUUCCAACUACCCUAUUUAAUUUCCUUCGCCAUAUGCACGAAAAUACAACAAAGACAAGCUUCCUUGAUCAAAGUUUGUUGCCUAUGAAGCAAUGCGUUACAGCAGUGUAUACCAUCAUUAACUAAUUCGACAGCUAACCUAGCUUGAAUCACCAACCAGUUGCCCAAUUAAAGUUAUGAUAUGACUUGCCAGAUUUACAGAUGUACUAUAAGAACAAAAUAGAUAUUAGUUAAAAAUAAUAAACUUAACUUAAUUUCUUAAGAUUUUUUCAGUUUUUAGUUUUCUAAUUUUAAUAUUUUUAAUUAUUUUAAUUUAUAGUAUUAGAUUAGGUUGGUCUAUGAACAUUUUCUUAUUUUUUUAAAAAAAAUCCUAUGCUAAUCUAGUAAUUAAUCAGCGUUCUAUAAAGUUUAGAUAAAAGUAUGGAUUUGCUUAAAAAGUUGUAAACCAAGGGCUAGAAGAGGCCACAAAACUAUCGGCCACAAGUCCCAAGUGUAGAAGGAGAAAUGCAUUUUGUUUAUGUUUUUGUUUUUUAACAAACAAAAAACAUUACAACUUGAUGAAGGUCAAUAAUGUCAUGCUAAUUCAACACAGUCAAAAACUAUUGAAGUAUAUCCCCGUCCUUGUUUUUAAAAUAUCUUCACUAAAUAGACGGAUAUUAUGUUAAUAUGUUUUUAUUUAGUUGCAUGUUAAUAUUUGUAGGGAAAGAUUUUAUUUAACAGUUAGAUUUUUUAUUAUAUUAAUUGUCAAAAGAAGAAAGUAUUUGAAAUAUUUUUUUUAAACACCAUAAAUAUUUUUAACAGAAACAAUUAUGUUCUAGCCGUGAAAGAUCAUUAUGGGCAAAUCCUUCCUCCACUUUUUUACAAGAUUUUUUUUUUUAAUUUGUUAAUACGAGGGUACAAAUUUGUUAAAAAAAUUUCUUAAGAUACCAGGGUCUAGAAGAAUCGAGGGUUCUUUCGAGUUGGUAUUUUGUUAUGUUUUUUGCCCAUUGCUUUUAGGCUCUUAAUUGAGUGUUGUUUUGAAGAGGACGCAAGGAUAAUGAAAGGUAGUCUGCUUAAGGAGGCAAUAUUAAAGACAAUAGUUUCACCAAUUUGACAAAGAGACAGAGAUAAUGCCAAUGUUCCAAAAAUAAAUAUAUAAAUAUGAUGCACCUUGCACACACAAAAGGUAAGAAAAGAUUAUGCACUUAACUUGUACCAACUAUCACUGCGACUGUUUUGGUUCCUAGAUCUUGAAAAUCAUAUUAGAAAAUAUUCUAACAACUUUGAAAGAAAACCCUAAAAUUAAAGAUUUGAAAAUUGAAAAAGAAACCACUUCUCCAUUUUAGGAUAAUAUUAACCAAUUACUCAACCGCUUCAUCUAAGAAUUAGGGGUGUUUUGAUGCCAACGAUCCCAAAAAUUAGUCAUGCCGUAAUUUUAUUAUAAUUCUAAAUUCUAACUAGAUACUGUUAGAAUUUUUUUUAGUGGUGGAGAUUCUAUAUUAAUUAGUGAUAUGAUCAAAUUAAUAUAUACAGGAGUUUUAAAUGUUGGAUUCAACCAGAGAAAUAUGAGUGUAAAUUAAAAUUAGAAAUCAUGGUACAAUCGAAACAAUAAAAUAAACAUUAUUACAAUAAAAAUGAAUAAUAAUAUUUAACGUGAAAAGUUCUCCAAUACCCAAAGAAAAAUCACAAAACAAACUCCAAAAAAUAUCACACUGUAUUAAAGAAUAUUACAAUAUUUUUCUCUACUCUUUUUCACAAAUAAGAAAUACAAUAUAGUGUUUCUUGUGAGACUUGCUCCUAUUCAAAUACUAUAUUUUUAUAGUACCAAAAAACUAUAGAAUUGAUUCCCACCUUGUUGUAUUUUUCCCACACUAUUAGAAUUUUCUCAACAUUCUAUUUUUCCUCUCACUAUUUUCUCACAACUAUCCAGAAAAUUUACUUUGCUUCUACUCAAUACAUUCCUGCAUUUGCAAAAUCCUCUAGUUAUAGAACAAUUUGCUAAGCUUUUCAACAAAGCUUGCACCGUAAAAAUGUUUUUCAUACCUUUCAAAAUUAAUUGCGCCUCUAGCUAUAACUUUAAGUAGGGCUAGUGUUUUUUUUUUCAAAGAGGCAUGUAGUGCAUUAAAUGCAUGGUGGACUUUGGUUGGACAUAACACUAACCUUAUAAGUUACAUUUAUAAAAUUGAAUUAAAUAUUAACCCAAAAUUCUGAGAGAAUAUAAGAGUCUAUUCUAACAAUUAUUGUUAAGUCUAUUGAAUUAGUCACUAUCAAAUCAUUAUUGAACCAUUGAUAAAUAUUAAGUUUUUUCAAUCCUCAAAGUGAGGAGAGUAUUGAAAAUUCUGUAUUAAUCAAUAAUAUGAUCAAGAUAGAGUUUUAGAAGUUGUUCUCACCAAAUCUUUAUCAAAUUGGGGUUGAAGUAUAACUUGUAAAAGGUGUGUAAUGACUUAAUGAAUUAAAAUUUGAUUUUUUUAGUUUAUGAUUAUUUUCUAAUAAUUUGUUUUCAUUUCAACCUUUUUUCUUACAUAAAAAUUGUUUUUUUAAUCCAAGGUAGAGAUUCUAGCUUAGCAUUUGUUGUCUAAUCCAAUAAAAUGUACCUCAACCAACAUAAAAGCUAUUAAUCAUCACAAGACACGUAAAGAUAACAUUUUGAAGACUUUUGUCCAUAAUCACCUGAGCUUGAUUAAGACAAGAGCAUUACUAAAAUUCUAUUGACAAGAAGAUUAUAUCUUUUUGUUAUUUUAAAAAUAUUUUCUUAUCAUAUCCAUUAUGAAGUGUGUGUUUGAUUUUGUGUUUGAAAUCAUCAAACUUGAAUCUAAAGUCGAUCAAAUUUAAUUAUGACUUUAUUUAAUAUGUUUGUCACUUUUAUGUUAAUGUGAUUAAGUGGAACAAAUUUGAGUCUUUAUUAAUAUUACUUUGAAUAACUUUUGCAUUGGAUCAAAAUGUUUAUACUGAUUUUUCCUUUUAAUUUGAUUUCAUAAUAAAAAUAUCAAAAUAUAAAUCAUAUCACUUUAAAAUUAAUUUGAUUUAAAAUUAAUUUUAUCAACACUCAUUUAAAUAUGCAGGAACUGUAAAUGUGACUAAAAAAAUAACAUAAUAAUCAUAAAUAGUAAGCAAUUAAGAUUUCAAUGUAAUUGAAAUAAACCUCUAUUAUAAUCAUAUCUACCAACAUCUCUAAAUAAGGUCUAAGCACACUAUUUUCUCCCUUAAAUUAUCAUCCAUCUGCCAUUUUUUUUUUUUCCUGAUGUAGGCAUCGAAAUAUUAAUAUUUUCUUACAAGAAUCUUCUCCAACAACCAAAGACUCAGUGUCUUAACACAAUUCAAAGUAUCCUACCAAUACCAUGAAUCAGUUGAUCAAUCACCACGUUAACAGGGAGAGGCAAAGCAUCAUGGUUGUCCACAAAUUAGCCACUACAAUACCGACAAACAAAUUUUAAAAUAUUUUAUUAUCGCCAGAUUCUAGACGCCUUUUGGCAUUAAACUCUAAUUACUAACACCAUUAAGUUAACGAAAAUAAUUUAUCAUAGUUACCAGAUGUCAAACUAUGACUAGUGCUAGUGCCAUUUUUAAAUCCCACGUCAUAAUUGUGCACACUAUAAUCUUCGCAAUUUACAUAUUUCCAUGUUUCCAUUUUUUUUAAUUCUUAUUUUUAUUUCCAAUAACGUAAUUUACUCUCAUAUAAAUAAACAUUCUAUGAAAAUUUCCUGAGUCUGACUCUGAGAUCAUCAUCAUCAUCCUCACUUCCGGAUCAGCGGAAAAAUAAACAAUAAUUUUUUGUUUUCACCACUUGAAAUUUGCGAUCUUGGAUUUCAGAAGAAAAAAAAUCCUACAGGGGCCAAUCAGAAACCCUAGAUUCAUAAAAGGGAGAUUUUGUUUUCAGUGUAAUAUAACCGUAUUUCAGUUGAUUUUUCAGGAAGCGCGAGUUUCAGUUGAUUUUUUAUUCUGUUAUUUUGGGGAUCUCGAAUACCGAGAAAGAAAUCAAAUUUUGUUUUGUUGUUUAUCAUUGUUUGUUUUUCCCAUUGUUGGAGUUGGGGGUGUGAGAGUGUGGGAUUGGUGAGGGUGCAAUUGGGAAUUGGUGUGAGGAAUGAGAGGAGGGGCAUAAAUGUCUGCUCCAUUGGGUAUUGGAAUUCGUUCUGGAAGUUAUGGGUCUUUGGAUAAACAGGUACAUCAGAACGGGACUGCACGGAAGGCUUCAAAGAUGCUCAAGGAGAAGGAGAAGGAGAGGCUGUUCCUUUGGAUCUGCAAGUUCGCCGGCCGCAAGAAGGUCGGAAUGCUCUUCCUCUGCCUCAUCUCCGCCGCGGUUUUCAUCUGGGUUUUGUAUGUUGGAAAAGGUUCCUCCUCACUUUCUCUCCUUCCAUUUGUUUGUCUAUGGUUACUGUGCUAAACUUUAAUUAUGUGAUUGCAUUAAGUGUUAUGUUAUAAUUUGAGCACGAAUGGGAGUUGGGUUUAGCAGAAAGGACUAGUUUCCGCAUGUGGUGAAUCAAGGUUCAAAUAAUGGCUGUUAGAAGAGGUGUCUAGUGUCUGACGGUGCAUCGAACAGGAUUGCCUCUGAUGGAAGGAUAACUAGGAGGGAUUACAAUAGUUAGAAGAGGUGUCUAGUGUCUGAUAGUGCAUCUGGAUUGUCUCAGAUGGAAGGAUAACUAGGAGGGAUUACAAUAGUUAGAAGAGGUACCAAGGUUCGGAUAUAUUUUAGAAGAGGUGGCUAGUUCUGAUAGUGUAUCAAACAGAAUUGCCUCUAAAGGGGAUAUCCAGUAGGGGGGGGUUUGGAUUACAAUUUGAGCUUUUGUGUUUUUAGUGUUAAUAUGCCGUUGUUAUCUAGUUCUUUUGAUUGGCUCAACCGGGUAUGCUAGAAUGUGCUGUGAGUUGUGAUUUACAACUGUUGUUUGGUUUCUACCUUAAUUAGAACAUAGCAUGAUGUUCGUGGUGUGGCUUGCUUUCAGCUGAAGAUUCUCAGGACGGAAACACUGUGUCAAGCAUUAAUGUUAAUGAAAGUGUAUCUGCAAGUGAUUCUACAUCUGAGAACUCAACGACAAAUGCAAUGGGCUUAACUAAGAGAUCGGUAUUACCCCCUCCACCCGCGGGUUAUUUUUUGGGCUACCGUCUUCCUCCAGGGCAUCCGUGUAAUAGCUUCACACUCCCUCCCCCACCUGCUGAUAAAAAGCGUACUGGGCCACGUCGUAAGUUUUAGUUUACUAUUUUGCUGGAUAAGAUAUCUUUCUUAUACACUAUUUGACACUUAAUAAUUUGGAAUAGUUCCCAUCAUCCAUGCAUAUAUCAAUUAGUUCUUGGAAGUUGUGAUUCAUGACUGUAUGUAGGGCAUGAGAUAUAUUUUAGAUUGCGUAAUGUGUAUGGUGUUUCUACUUUGUACUGAAUAUUCGGGUUGUUUUAUUUUUUAGCAUGCCCGGUGUGUUACCUUCCUGUGGAAGAAGCCAUUGGACUGAUGCCAGCCUUGCCCUCACCUUCACCAGUCCUUGGGAAUUUAACAUAUGUCUAUGAAGAAAAUUUAAGUAGAGAUGGAGAAUUUGGUGGUUCAGACUUUGGAGGGUAUCCUACUUUGAAGCAGAGAAAUGAUUCUUUUGAUAUACGAGAGUCGAUGAGUGUGCACUGUGGGUAUGUUUUGCUUUUUGUUGAAUGUUUCCCUUACUUAUAAGUUACAUCUAUACCCACUGAGGAAUGUUCUUUGUGGUUAUAAUUGUCCGUGCUAGUAAUUAAGCAUUCUUGUACCUUUUUACUGACAUGAAUUCAUUCUCCAUCUUCAAUAAUGAAUGUGUAUACCAAUCAGAUUUGUUAGAGGAAUUAAACCUGGUCGCAACACAGGAUUUGACAUUGAUGAAGCUGACCAUUUUGAAAUGGAGCAGUGUAAUGGAGUGGUUGUUGCAUCAGCCAUAUUUGGUCUGUAUUAUGUGAUUUCUUCAUUUGUUUACUUGUUUAUAAGCUUGUAAUUGAUUGUAUAUCAAAUUUAUUGUUCAGGAAACUUUGACGAGAUAAAUGAGCCAAACAAUAUAAGUGAUUAUUCGAGGAAGACUGUAUGCUUCCUUAUGUUUGUUGAUGAAGAAACAGAAAAAUAUCUGAUUAGUUCUGGCAAAUUGGGAAUCAGCAAGAAAAUUGGUUUAUGGAGAAUUAUUGUUGCUCGUAAUCUUCCUUACCCAGAUGCAAGACGGACAGGAAAGGUCAGAAUUACAUAUUUGACCCGAACCAUUGUGACUGAAAUAGAAAUUAGCAUAUGGGAUGCUAGCCAUUUUUGUUACUGAAACAUUUUUUGCUAUGUGGUUCUUAUGAUCUGAAUGUUGCUGUAGAAAAGUAAUAUUGUUUGGCUGCGGUUUCAUCUUUCUGUAAUCUACCAUGUCAAGGUUAAUAUUGCCGUACUGAUUUGUCCUCAAUACACAGAAAGGGGACACGAAAAUGCUAUGUAUGAAUUGAAUAAAAUUAAACUUUUGCCUAGGUGCUGAUGUGUUUUCUCAUUCCUAAAGUAGUACUUUGCAUACUCUGUAACUUUUACUACCUUUUCCACAGAUUCCAAAGCUUCUGUUGCAUAGAUUGGUUCCGAAUGCUCGCUAUUCUAUAUGGCUUGAUGGGAAGCUUGAGCUUGUUGUGGAUCCAUAUCAAAUUCUUGAAAGGUAUACUCCGGUGAAUCUCUUUGAUACUGCAUAUAAUAUACCACUAUACAUAUUCAUUCUAUAUGCUAAAGGGAUGUAAAUAUUCUCAUUUCAGUACUAUGCUUUGUUUUAUAUGUAGUUUAGCAUGUGGUUUACUGUUCUAUCCACUUCUGUAUGAGAUAGAUAUGAUGUCCCUGCUAUUUGGCUUUAAGACUCAUUACAUGUUUUCAAACUAGAUCCACCGCUAGAUGAGGUGAUAAGAGUUUGAUGUUUGUCAGUAUGCAUCCCUUGCUUUAACUAGAUUGGUUAUUCAUGUAGUUUGCUACGUGUCACACUUGCUCUGUAAGUCUAUAUACUAAUAUUCUCUUCACAAUGUGUAUGAUUUGUUCUCCAAGAUUGAAGGUGCAACUCACACAUAUCUCCAUAUUAUAUGCUUGUUGCUCCAUAAAUAUCUUUCUCUGAUAACAUGGAAAUUCUUGAAGUCCAAGUAUGGAAUUUCUUUCCUGCCCUAGCUGAAGGUGACAUAUUAAUCUAUCUAGACACAAAGUCCCUUCAGAUUGUCUAAAGAUUAUGUCUUCAGUGUAGUUGCGAGUUUUCAAAGAAAACAAAUGAAUGUUCUUACCACAGAGCUUUCUGCCUUGAAAUGAUUGCCAAUACUCAAGCUGUAGAUUUCCUUAGUUUUCUACUAUUGUGUGUUGCUGAGUAGAUUGCUAACCAAUGAUAAAAUAGACUUUUCAGAGUAUAGCAGUGGAAAGUGAGGAUAACUUACUCAUCAACUAGAUUAAACUCUACUCUAGUUCCACUUUCAGUUAAUCCCCGAUAGACUGCUAGUUUAACUUUUAAGAACCUUACAAAACAAGCCCUAUAGUUUAUUGCACUUGGGACUCAACGUUUUCAGCAGCAUGGGCCCAGAAACACCUGAUGCACCAAUUCAAUCUCCAUGUGCUUUUUUGGAAUGAGAAAGUAGGGAAACAAAAAAAAGGAGAGUAAGAAGUCCUCUAAGAAUAAACCAAAAGAAAAGAAACAAUAGCUCUGUAUAGCUCUUACAUGUGACUCAUUUUCCUUCCUCCCAAACUUCCCAUCUGUUCUGCAUGGCAUGCCUGCUUGCAUGUCCCAAAAUACCAUUUAUGACAGCUUGGUGUAAAAUUGUUUGUCUUGGGGGCUACAGAGGUAUGGUAACAUAGAGACUGGAAGCCUGUGAUUACUGGCUAGAAAACAAUACAUGCUGUAGAUAAGAUUGGAUCAGAAGUCUUGAUCUCUACCUCUGUUUUGUUGAUAUUAGGAUAAUUAUCAUCUUGUGGUGUAGGUAUCUCUUCAAAUUGAUAAUUCUCUGACAUUAAAGCUCAUUGAGGGUUGGCAUAAAUGGAGUUUUCAGUUAUGGAAAAGUUGAAAGUGAAUUUGUCUCUGAAGCAUACAAGUAAGGGUAUAUCCACUCUCAAUUCAAUUUAAAAUACAUUGUGAUCAUAACUCACUUAAAUACAAUGGUGGAUAUACCCUUCUUUGAGCACGAAAAAAUAAGCUUACUUGAGAGAAGCCUUGUCCAUCAAUUAUCUCCUUUAUUGCCUUGCCUCUAGGAAAUAUUUAUAGGCUUGUAGCAUUAAUAUUACUUAUAUGCAAGUACUAGAAUCUUGUCAAAUGCCUACCUCAGCUCAUAGGACUGUCAUUUAGAGGUUGUGUAAUUGAAAUGUUAACAGCUUUGAUGCUUUCAUUUUUUAUUUAGUUGUUUUUUACUGCACAAUAUUGUUGAUUUUGAAAUUGGUUUUGUUUGAUUCUUAUCUACCCUCCAUUCUAUGCUGAAUUUACCUUCCAUUUUGAGUGACUUUCCAAGGUGUAACAAUUUCUUCAUAGAUGAACAAGAUACUGAUAAUACAUAACUGUAUUUUUUCUAUGAAAAUGAAGCUUUAGAUUUUACUGGAUUUAUAUGUAUGUUAAUCUGUAGUGUACCAAAUUAUAAUUAAUUUGAGGUCAUAUUUCAUACCUAUGCUCUUUCUGACUUUUUACAAGCUAUAUUUUUGCUUUGCCUAUCCAUAAACCCAUAAUACAUGUUUUGACACCUAAACUCCCUUCACACUUAUCUAGGUUUUUGUGGAGAAAGAAUGCUACUUUUGCAAUAUCAAAACAUUAUAGACGCUUUGAUGUAUUCAUUGAGGCUGAGGCAAAUAAAGCUGCUGGAAAGUAUGAAAAUGCCUCUAUUGACUUUCAGAUAGAGUUUUACAAGAAUGAGGGAUUGACACCAUACACAGAGGCUAAGCUUCCUCUUAUAAGUGGUAGGUAGAACUGCCUUCCUGUAUUUAUCUAGGAUGAGUUGCACCUGUUUCAUUGUUUUUUUAAAAACUUGUUUCAAAUGCUGCAGAUGUUCCUGAAGGAUGUGUGAUAGUACGAGAGCAUGUUCCUAUUAGCAACCUCUUUACUUGUCUUUGGUUCAAUGAAGUUGACCGAUUUACUUCAAGGGACCAGAUUAGUUUCUCAACCGUCAGGGACAAAAUUUUGUCGAGGGUAGAUUUUCAUUUUAACAUGUUCUUGGAUUGUGAGAGACGCAACUUUGUUGUUCAGGUAACUAUUAAAAUUGUUUCAAUAUCUGACUGAAACUUUCUAUUGCAUUGAUUUCCAGAAGGUACAUGCUGAUUCUGAACAGACAAAACAUUUAGUAGUGCAAUAAAGAUGAGCACAUGCAUGUGCAUGAUUCUGAAAAUAAAGAUUUGCACAUGCAUGUGUGCACUCUUUAGUAAGCAACUAAUGUGAUAACAUUUUCCAUAUUGAUGAUUACCCUUUUAUAUUUUCAGAGAUAAACCCCCUCUUUCCGUUUCAUUAUUUUUCUCUGUUUCUCUAAAUGUUUUCACACUUAGAUAUGAACUUACCCUUAUUUCACUAUUUAAGUACUUGAAUUAUUUUUUACAUUGCUUGGGGAGGAUAUGACCUAUUCCAUCAUUAGUUUUAUGAUAAUAGCAUUUGCUUUAGUUCACAAAAUUUGUGUUAUGAAAAGUGUACUACAACCACCUUGGCUGGGAAUUUGCUGAAAACCUUGUCUCAAGGGUUAUUGUUUCUUACUUAUUCUGAAUGUUAUAUUUUUUAUCUGAACUUCCUUCAUUGGCAAUGGAAUUUCAUGGUCACUUUUCUCUCUUGUUUACCUUAUUAUACUCUAUUUUUGGGUGCUUACAGAAAUACCACAGGGAUCUAUUGCUGCGCCUGGCUCCACCAGCUUCACCUCCUCCACCAUCUCCUCCUCCUCCUCCUCCAUUGCCUGUGCUUGAAACAUCACCUGAAAAGGGUGCAAACUCUCCCAUUAGAAGAGGCCCUGGAAGGCGUGGAAGAGAUCGAAGAGCUGGUUCACGGCACCACCGCAAAGUUGUUGCUGGAAGCAGAGAGAUGGAACCAAGUUAACAGUUUUGUUUGGGCGAGAUUAUAUUAUUAGUAGUUUUGUUUAAAAUUCCACCUACGGAAAUCAUUCGUUGCAGAGCUGGAGGGAAAAUGUGCAAGAUGAGUGUUGUAUUGUUUCCACAUAUAGACGCUCUCAUUCUUUUGACUAUCCGCAAUUGUCCAUUUUUGUUAAAUUUUUUGCUGUAUAUAUGGUAAUAUUUUCAAUAAUUAUACGUAGCAACUCAUUUUGCCAUUCCGCAAUAUUACAGAAAAAAGUGUACUUCCUCUGUUAUACUAUACUCCAAAGAUAUAUUCAAGACGGGUUAGUCUCCAUUAGGAGAGUGAAAAAUACAAGGUGUAUGUAGGACCCACCUGAAUUAUUUUUGGUGUAUAAUGGUCGAGUUUGAACUUAAGAUCUUGUGGGUGUUAUCUCAAACCUCUAUCACUAAGUCGACUGUAAUAGUUAUCACCUGAUUCUAUUUAGUGGAGAGGAUCUCUACUCAUUCAAGACUUGUUCAUUUCUAUUAAUAGAAGUAACUUUUUUACAUUAAUAGAUUUCUUGACAUAUUAAUGGCUAAUAACUGGUGUAGAAGUCUCUCUUUCACUAAAUUAAUGGUUUAUUAAGAAAUUCUAAAAUUAUAGAAGGCCUGUUCACUUUACUCCAUGAAAAUAAAAGAAACAAGAAUCCCAUAACAAAAUCACAUUGUUCUAACAUACAUGUCAACAUUUUAUCACUCCUUUAACAUGUCAAGAAUGAAAAUAGUUGAAGUUCUAUAAUUUCAAAAGAAUAAUGUUUUAUUUUACAAAUCUCAUGGAGUAAAGUGAACGAGCCCUACCUUUAACAUUCUUCUUCCUCUUCUUUUUUCUCCAUGCAGCCUAUCAUUCCCUCCUUAUGAGAUCACCCAUCGCCGUCUCUCCUUUCUUUUCCUCUUAAACAUCCUUUCCUGCGAAAGAUAAAUUCUGAUAGUAGAUGAGAUCAUGUGAAAAACUAUGUUCAACACUAAAACUUGCACUUCAAUUCUUAAUAUCAAACAUUGUUACAUAAAUAAUUACAUAACAAAUCUGUCUUUUUUUAUUGCAUAAAAAGGGAAUAUAAAUUUAACAAAAACAUACAUUUCACACUUUCUUCCAUCUAAUAAAUCACCAAUUUCUUUUAUUUAAAUAAUAAAAGAAAAAAUAUUUUUUUUUCUCUUAAUUGUAUCUUCAAUUCAUUUUUUCCGAACAUUUUCUCUAGUCGUAUUUCCUAUAACUUACAAGUGAGUAACCACUGAGGGUGUGUUUAUUUUACCGUUUCAAUCUAUUAUUAGCAUGUACUUUGAUGCACUUUUUUUAGAAUCGUAACCGUAGGUUUGAAGCUUAUUGAACGGAAAAAUAAAUACUACACACUAACACUUAGGUUAUGUUGGUCUUAGAGGAAAGAAAUGUGGUGAAAGUGAUUGCACCAAUGGAAACGAACGAAAGAAAUCGUUUUAGUAGAAAGUUAUAUAGAAAUUUGUAUAAAAUCCGUGGGAUCCAUGCUUUUAGAUUUCUGCACUAAACUGAGAAGAAAUGCGAAGAAAGAAUAAAAUAAAAACGUUAAAAUGUUUCCAAAACUAACCCUCUAAGCUAGGAGCACUUUUUUAAUUCAUCAGGCAUGGAACAAAAUCAAAUAUAGCGCGGACAAAUUCAAAUAUGGGAAUAUGCCUAGCAUAAUAUAAAAUUGAAUAUGCCUAUGCCUAGUAAAAUUUAAUUUCCAUACAGCAUCCAAUUUGAUGGCAGUAAAAAUCGAUUAUAUAUAUAUAUAUAUAUAUAUAUAUAAUCUAAUAUUAGUUAAUGUAAUAAAAAAUAUUUAUUUUAAAAAAAGCAAAAUAAUUUUAAAAAUAAUAUUAAAACAGAAAAAACAUAAAUAUAAUUAAAAUUUCACAAAUACUUUACUUAUAAAUUUGAUUAUCCAGUAAUUUAAUUUAUGAAUUUUUCUUCCUAUUUCAUAAGAUCGUAGAAUGUUGAUCAACAUUCAAUUGUUAUAAGGAAUCAAUAUUGUACUUUUAUAAAAUAAGAAAACCAUAAAUUAAAUUAUUAGAAGACUAAAUUUAAAAUUAAAAAUAAAUUAAAAGAUGAGAUGUAUAAUUUUACCUUGAUUUUAUUAUCUACCAAGUCGUGAGUUUCUUUCCUCUCAUCUCAUCUCUCCCUUUCAUCUCUAUCCCAAAUUUUAAUUUUCCACUCUCUUUGAUAUCUUUUUCUUUUCUUUCAUCACAACAAACGAACAGUGUUACCAUCCAGAAAACACAAUACGACGUCGAUAAGAAAAACGAACCCUAUCAUCGCCAUUGGAAUUUGGAAGCUACGAAGUAGGAACCAUGACAGCGCUGGUGAGAAGUGGAGUGAUGAAGCUCACUCUCCAAUUCCAAACCCCUUCUCCUUCUCUGUCUCUCUUCUCUUCUUCUCUCUCCAUUACCAAAACACCAUCACCACCCUCUUUCUUCUCCUUCCGCCACCCUCUUUCCCAUUCGAGCAACGCUUCCAAAACCCCCACCACCAACCCUCUUCCUUCUUCUUCCUUUGAAUCCCAGCUAUUCAUCCCUCCGGGCAUUGAACCCGACGAGGUCGACGACUCCACGGUCCUUCCCGGCUCCAACAUCGCCGUCGGACCCUACGCCGGCGAUUCCCGAAUCAAGGACGUCCAGUUCGUCAAGAGCAGCGCCCGCGCCAGGGAUUGCCCCAAAGACGACCUACCCGAAUUCGCCGUUCUCGGUCGCUCCAACGUCGGCAAAUCCUCCCUCAUCAAUUCCCUCGUCCGCAAGAAAGAGAUUGCUCUCACUUCCAAGAAACCAGGUUAGUCAGUUAGGUUAAGCUUCUUUUAGGAGAUAUAAGGUUCGUCUAGUGUUGAAGAGAGGUCGCCAACAGUCUAUAACCAACGGUCUAAGAUGUAAUAAUGUUGUGCUGAUUUUUGGUAAUGGUGGUUGCAGGGAAGACGCAGCUCAUCAAUCACUUCUUGGUCAACAAAAGCUGGUACCUUGUUGACUUGCCUGGUUACGGGUCAGUCUCUAUUUCUUAAUUUUUUCUGCUUCAUGUCUUCUUGUUCCUAUGCUUCUUUAUUAUAUAUAAAAAAGAUUUUAAAUUUAUAAAAGUAAUAAGUAGUUAUAUUCACAAAUUAAAAUGCUCUUGCUGCAUUUGUUUGGCUGAUCGUUUUGCACAAUUGGUUUUGGUUAAUGGAGAGUUUAAAGUUAAUGUUUUCAAGUUUUUAUCAUAUAAGCAGAAUUGUAGUAUGAGAUUUUCAAGUCGACGUAAGAGUUACAUUUUUCACUUUUUGUCAAACGUGCUUUCUGUAGUAAAGUUAAGUGCAUCUUUGGAUUCACAUUUUUAAAAUCAAGUUGAAAUACCAGUUAACAUGACUUUAGGUACAAAAUAUCCUAAAUUGAGGAAUUGAUUUUGACUUAAAAUAACUUUAAGCAGUUUUUGCAUUGGGUUCAAAAUCUUAUAGUUUAUGUAUAGUUUUACCACUACAACAACAACAACAACAACGCCUUAUCCCACUAGGUGGGGUCGGCUACAUGGAUCAACUUCCGCCAUAAUGUUCUAUCAAGUACUAUAGUUUUACCACUAACUUGCUUAAUAAUAAAAACAUUCAAACAUAGGUCACUUUACUUCAAAACCAAUUUUGCGAACGUUCACCCACCCACACUAAUUUUAGUGAGAUGCAACCAAACAUUAUGUUUCGUUGCAGAAUCUCAGUGUUUGAAUGUCUCAAACGCAAAUACAAACAUAGCAUUAGUGAGAACAGCAUUGGGGGGAAAUAAAAAAUAUGACAUAAUACAUACUACAUGGAAAUGUAAUUUUUAUUAAAUCUCAAAAUUAUAUGGAUAGAUUCAUAUUGAGAGAGGUCUUCCGAUUCCCUAUUUGCUUAAUAAAGCUGGUUGAUGCAGGCCAUAGAUACCCUCUUUGGUUUUCAAGUUUCUCGAGUUGUUUAAUAAUAGUAGCAAUUAAUUUUUUUAAAUGCUUAGUAGCUGUGUUGUAUGUUUACUUGUAUCUCCCCAUUGUCGGGUUUCAUAUAUGUUUUCUUGAAUGAUUUUCUUCCCUGUAUUUCCACCUCCUUCCUGGAUUGGAGAGGAUUUGGGAUUAGUGGUUGGUGGUGAUACUGUUAAGUGUUUUAUCUACUCGUGAAAUACUGUUUUUUAUGCAGCUUUGCUAAAGCACCUGAAGCAGCAAAAACGGAUUGGUCCUCAUUCACAAAAGGGUACUUUUUGAACAGAAGUACUCUGGUUGCUGUCUUGCUUCUCAUUGAUGCAAGUGUUCCACCCCAAAAAGUUGACUUGGAUUGUGCAAAUUGGCUUGGACGCAAUAAUGUAUGAUGUUUUAUACAUAUAUAGUCCCUAAAGUAAUGUUGUCAAGGUACUGAAACAGGUCUAAAUCCUGUAAAAACUUUUGUGAAUUGCAGAUACCAAUCACUUUUGUUUUCACAAAAUGUGACAAAAUGAAGGUGGCAAAAGGGAAACGGCCCGAUGAGAACAUAAGGGAUUUUCAAGAGUUAAUCAGACAAAACUACAAGCAACAUCCUCCAUGGAUUAUGACCAGCAGUGUCACUGGAAUGGGUAGAGAUGAGCUUCUCUUGCAUAUGUCUCAGCUAAGAAACUACUGGGAUCAGUAGGAGAAAAAGCUCAAAAUUAAGCAAGAUGUGAGUAUCUAUGAGAAAACAGGCCAUGCGGGAUCAAAGUUGAAAUUACAAAAGAUGCAACUAUAUGGAAGAAUCAUGUGAAAGAGCUAUGGGUUGGGUUGAGCCUUGAAAUAUUUCAGCUGGAUCUUUCUUCAGGAUUCGGGAUCUUUGUUCUUCUUGAACUGCAACAAGAUAUAUAACUUGCAUGGGAAUCAAGUUUGAGUUGUUUCUGGAUAAUGAAUUUCCACAUACUGACACUGAGUAUUAGGGUUAAUGGUAACGUUUUAUGCAAAUGGGGAUAAAAAAUCACAGGAAAUGUUGUAUGCUUUCAACUGGGAUAUAGUAUUGUGCUAGCUUUAUUUAUCUUUAGUUGCCUGAAUACAUGUUUUGGGUUACCAUUGUAUUGGGUUCAGAUUGUCUUCAGUUACUGGAUUUUUCCCGUUGGAGGGACACACCCAUUGUGUCUUUCUCUCUCAUACUGGAAAAAUCCAGUACUGGAAAGGAGUACAAUCCCAUUGCUUUGGCAUUUAUUUAGGACUUUCUGGAGCAAAAAUGAUCUUUUUGCAUUAUGUAAACAUUGUAGAUGUUUUGAUGUAUUUUUUGAGGCUGGGAUAAAUAAUGCUGCGAAGUGUGCGCAUCUGAAUUGCCGUAGCAUUUAUUCCGAGGCACCUUCAACACAUAAGGGGUUCCUUCCUUUUGCCAACGUCCGGUUUCAUCGCCUGAUGCAAACGGUUACACAAACGCAUGAAAAAUGUUAGAAGGUUAUUCACCAUCUCAUUUGCAAACACCUUGUUAUCAUUACUAUUCCUCACAGCCACCACUGCCGAGAGCUUCAAGGUAGUGGACUCCUUAGAGAUAACCUCAUGACCCUCAUUGAGUGCUACCAUCAUGCUUGCUGAGGAACUACUUUGGUUCCCCUUCUUCUUCACUCUUAAGUUUCAUCUUAUUACCACUCCUACUCAGUGUCGAUGAGCACACUAAUGGAAUGGCCGAGACCAAGAAAUUGGCAAUUCAAAUGAAUUUUGUUGUGCAGCAUGCCAUUAAUAUUGCCAGAACUCGUGACCAUGAGAGUCUUUAUACCAGCCAUUUCUGUAUAGUGUAUACAAUUGUUAACCUUUAUAUCAGAAAACAAAAAAUGAUCUUGUGACACUGAAGGUGAUAACAUAAAUGAGAAGUUUUGAAGGGAUAUAAUGACUUAAAUAUGUUACAAAUUUAUAAUAAAUUAUCGAAUUUUUUAAAAUUUCUAAUAAAAAAAUUUGUUAUAUUAAUUUUUUGAUAUAUUAACUGAUCGGUGCAAAUUCAAAAUAAAAGUUUUAAUAGAGUAGAGAUUUAAUAUAACUAGAAAAUCUAUUAGAAAGGUAAAACAAAUAUCGAAUAUUUAUACGACACUAAAAAAUAUGUAAGUCAAUAUAGUAUUUAUAAAGGGUUUACAAAGAUCAAACAUUGUAUUAAGAAAAUUAAGCACAAUCACGAGUCACGCCACACGCCGACACCAAGGCCAUAAUUAAUCAUUUUCUAGUACGUUUACUAAAAUUUGUCCACGAAAAAUAUAUGGUGUGUGAAUCAGAUUUGUACUUGAACAACGAAAAUUAAACAUAGGUCUCUUGACUUUUUCUAGUAGUGAAAUUUAUCCUCGAAAUUUUGAAGACUAACUUCUACUAUAUGGUAAAAUACAGAUAAAUUUAAUAAUAUUAAUUGUGAAAAUUAUAUUUAUUCUUUGAAAAGAAUGUAAUAUUAUAAUAAGUAAUUUUUAUUAAAUUAAAUGAUUCUAUUAACAAAUAAAUAUUUAAAGAUGAGAUAUAAAAUUUAUUUUUGAUUAUAAGUUUUUUUCAAUCAAACAAGUAAGUUUAUAAUUUUCUACUGAUGAGAAAUUUGUCUAAUACUUAAUAUAUAUGGUGAUAAUAAUUUUGGUAAAAAUAUUCAUAGAUGAUUCUAAUUAUAUCACAUAAUGGUUGGCAUGAUAAUUUCUAAUUAGAUUUUAUAAUAUUAUUUUUUAUUUUAAAGUUAAUUUCGAUAAUGAUUAUACUUUGAUAGUAAUUUAAAGGAUAAAAACAUGAAUUUAUUAAAAAUGAGAAUAAAUACAUACAUGAUAGCCUUAUGAACAAUUAGUUAAUUUCGAUGUGCGAUAUUAUUGAUGUUUGAGGAAUUAAAUGAUAAUGAUUUAAUUUCUCAAAAAUUGACAAUGGUCUUAUUUAUGAAUUUCUAAUAUUAAUGGUUAAAUUCUAUAAUUUUGACACAUGUAUAAUAAUAAUUCUAAACACACAUAUCUAAUGUUAUGUGAUGUUUUCGUAUAAUUGUUUUUAUAAAAUAUAGAUAAGUCUCUUAAAUAUGUUAAUCAGGUUUUGAUUUCUAAAUAAGCAUAUGAAAAAUACUUUUAUCUUUUGAAUUUAUUUUGAAUUUUAGAUAACGUUAAUUUAAUUUAUAAGCUGAAUAAAGAAAAAGGGAUAAUGUUGCAAAAUACAGGAAGUUGCAAAUUGAGAUAAACAACAGCACAGUAAAAAUUUAAUACUUUUUUAUACUUUCAUCUCGCUUCAUUUUUUUAAUACUUUGAUAUUGAUUUAUUCUUAUCAGUAUAGCAUCAUCAUGACAUUUUUUAUUUACAUAAAAGAAACAUAGAAACAUGCUCUAAUUAAAAAUAAACAUGUUGAACAUUUUAUAGGUUGUUAACUGUUGCUGUCCUUUUUUUGUAAAAAGAAAAGAAAAAGAAAAACUGUUUCUAUCACGAUUAAGGUCAACAAUUAAUAGGUUGAUUUAUCAAAAUGGGUUAAAAACUUGAACUAAUUAAUGGAUUGGUCAAAAAAAUAUUUAUCAAAUGAAUAAUUUUUGCCACCUAAAAAAUAGGAGGCUCAACUCCGGUUAAUAUCUCUUUUUUUUUUUUUAAGGUAUUUAGUGCCAGCCGUCAAGUCAACACUAACUAUAUUUAGAGUCGGCUUCAAGAUAAAUAUAUAAUUAAUUAGGAAAAAAAUACAUAAUGUUAGAAACAAACAAUCUAAUAAUAGGAGUAUGUAUUUUUAUUUCUUUUAAUAACAAAGAAUGAAGUAAUAUGAGUAAGUAUUAAUAUAAUAUACUACAAAUUAUGAUAGAUAAAAAUCGUUAUAUUCUUUUUUUCCUUUGGUAAUUCUUUGUAUAUAUUAUUAGUCUAAUAUUGAGUGAAUGUUUUAGCUUUAAAAAAAAUAAAAAAUAUAUUUUUGAAACAAAAAAUUGUUUGAACCUCAAUCAUAUAUAAUAGUUUUUUAAAAUCUAACUGUACACAAUUCUUUCAAGUAUCCUAUGACACAUUUUUUAGGCUUCAUUUUAUUUAUAUUAUAUAUACAUAUAUUUGUGCUAUAAUAAAGGAAAUUUAUUUACUUAUAAUAUUAUUUUAUCUAAAAUAUCAUCAUCAUUAUUUUUUAUAUGUAAAAAUCAUGUUAAGAGAUUUACAACAACUCACAUGACACUCAAUCAAUUGAGUUAGACUCUUAUGAAAAAAUAUAUUAUUUUAUUAAAUAAAUAUAUUUUUUAAAAAAAUUAAAAUUAAAAUUAAAAGUGCAGUUAUAACAAUGUUUGCAUUAUUGUUUAACCUUUCAUUAUAUAAUUGUAUUUCAUUGUAAAUUUUGUAAUUAUAAUAUACUCUUUAUUUUGAGUGAAAAUGCCAUUAAAUAAAAUAUCAAACAUGAUAGAUCUUUUGAAGGUGGUGCUUGAGAAGCACAAGGUAACACUAAGGGUGACACCUCUACUUACUAGUGACAACAAUCAUAUAUUUUGAUAAAUAUUUUCUUGAUCAACCCAUUAUGAUAAUUUGUUUUCAUUUUUAACUCAUUUUAAUAAAAAAAGAUAAUUAAUGGCCUGACCUCAUAUGUAGUCUUUAGAUCAACACCUUCGCUAGUGUAUUUAUCAAUUGUCCCAACAAUGCUUUGGUCGAAAGUUUAAAAAGUGUCUCAUUUUAUUUAUUUAUUAUGACUUUUGUUGGAAAUGUUAGAAACUUAAAAAACUAUAACGAAAUUUUUUAAAAUUUAAUAUACUUUAAUGAUAUAAUUGUGAAAUAUAAUGAAUAAAAAUUGACAUUAAGUCAAAGUUGAAAGAAAACGAGUAUGAUAUUGCAUUCGCAUAGGUGACAUGGCUACUUUCACACGUUUUAUACACAAGUAAAUAAUAUUAUAUAUUUUUAAUUUAUUAUAGUCUUUGUUGUUAAAAAAAGUCGAUGUUUAAGAGAGUCCAUUGUUAUGCGGUAAGUAUAUAGUUUACAAAAGUCUAGUCUAUAUUUAUUUGUGAUCAAUAACAACAUAGCAAUAAAAUCCCCUAAAAAAAUAUAAUAAUAAAAUGAAAUCCUUUGGGUAGGAGAAAAUGUAAUAGAAAUUUUUAUAUAUUAAAAAAAUAUGAUACCAUGCAAGAUAUAUAUGAAAACCUUUGGGUAAGAGAAAAUGAAGUUCAAAUGUGUCUAUAUAUAUAUAUAUAUAUAUAUAUAUAUAUAUAUAUAUAUAUAUAUAUAUAUAUAUAUAUAUAUAUAUAUAUAUAUAUAAGAAACACGUUAUAGUUUAUUUUAAACAUGAACAAAUAUAAUAAAUUACAAGCAACAAUAGAAAAAGAUAAAUAUGAUAAAUUAUUUUGUAUAUAAUGAUAUGAUAUAAUUAAUCUAAUAAAGACAUGCAAAUAGAUCAAUGUAUUUUUUUAAUUUAAAAAAUAAAACUAAAAUUGGAAAAUAAAAUAAUUAAAAGAUUAAAUGAUAUUUUAAUCUUAUCCAACUAUAUAAUUAUUUUAAACUAAAAAAUAUAUAAAUGACGAUGAUACAUGACAAUAACACAACAAAAGAAUACAUAUGUUAUUCGCAUCCCCAUUUAAUAAAAUUGAAACAUAAAAAAAUAAAAUAAUUAAAAGAAAAAAAAUAUUUUAAUCUUAUCCAAAUAUUUAAAAUAAAUAUAUGAAAUGAUAUUUUUAUUUAAUUUGAUGAUAAAUAAGUAUAUUAUAAAAAAAACUUCUGAACAUGUAUUAAAAUUUGCCAAAUUUCGACUUCUCCUGACUGUUUAUUUUACUUUUACUCACUCAUUUUAACUCCCAACCAAACAAAUUCUAAUGGCACCAAAUUUCAUGUAGACAAGUUUUCGAUUUUCAGUAAUAUCAAUAAUGGAGGACAUGAUAAUAAUAGAGAAAAAUGUUUAUGCUCUCAUAAUAUAAAAUAAUUUCACACACAAACGGUUUUAUGAUUGUAUUUAAUGUUGUAAAAAAUCGGUGUCAAUUUAAUUGAUUCACUUAAAGUUAGCUUGCUUUUAAAUUAGAUAAAAUUAGUUUUAAAUUAUUGAAUGUAAUUGAAAUAUGUGAUAAGAUUAAUCUUAAUUAGAAUUUUUUUCUUUAUUAAAAAAAGUAUGAAAAUUAAUUUUUCUGCUAUAAAAUAAAUAGGUACAUGUGCGUCCUUAUAUUUAGCACUAAUAAUUUUUUAUAUAUAGUUUUAGUGUUUUGGGUGAAAUCGGGCAUUCUUUGGCUGUGAAUCAAUGAUUAAUUUCAUGAAAUACUAAAAUCUAUAUUUAUAGGAUUGAUCUCUUUUAGUCAUGUUUUUUUCAUAUGCAUAGACUAUAAUUGAAUCCUCACCACAAUCUUUAAGUGGCAAUGCUAUUUGUCAACUAUGUUACAUUAUCUUUGGCAUGUAAGUUUAGUGCUGUCUGUUCUUCCGUUUAGUUUAUAAUAAAUAAUCAAAUUCGCCUCUAAAUGUGUAAGGUGUUGAGAAAUUAAUUUAUAAAAGAAAAAAAAUUUAAAUUUAUUUUUUAAAUGAAUAAAAAGUAUGACAAAUUAAUCUUGUAAUAAUUUAAUGAGAGAUUAGUUUAUAAAUUUUAUAACUUAAUAUUAAAUUAGUCAUCAAAAUAUAUAAAUUAUUAUUAAAUUAAUCUUUAAAUAUUAAAACUUAAUAAUAAAAUAAUUUUAUAAUAGGACUAAUUUUUUUAUUUUUUAAGAAUCAAUUUAUCUCUCAUGUCAAACUUUGGGAAACAAAUUUGAUUAUUUAGACUAUAAUUUUAUUCUGUGGUCCGCAAGAGAGUUUUUGUUUUGUCGGCUUGAAUGGUGUUGGGCCCAAGAGAGCGAGUCACAUCAUCUUAUGGGCUUGCAUUUCAUGCUUAGUGGGCUGAGGCAGUGCAGGUGUAGUUGCUGUUUGAGGGAUCAAAACAAAAACCUAGUUUUUAGACACUGCAACACCAGCAUCCAUGGCAAGUAGGAGGUGUCUGCGAGCGUUAACGCAAAAAACGACACCGUUUCUCUUCCGAAACGCAUCCUCUCUCCGCUCACUCACCGUGCCUCCGUUUCCCAACGCCAACGCUUCUUCCCCCGUUUUCACCGUACGCGCCUCUGUCUUCGCGCAAUGGCCCCACCUCCGCUAUUUCUCUUCCGAGAAAAAAGACGACCACAGCGACGAAGACGAUGAUGGCGAUGAGGAUUACGAUGAUGAAGAAGAGGAUUAUGUUGAUGACGACGACGAUGAUGACGUCCCUGUGUCGAGAGGGAAAAAAGUGUACACUGCGGAGGAGAAGGAAGCGGAAGCCGCGGCAAUUGGGUACAGAGUAGUGGGUCCCCUUCAAAAGGACGAAGAUAGCGUUUUUAAGCCUUACGAGCCUGUUUUUGCUGUUGUUCAGGUUCCAAUUUUCAAACUUUAUUCUUUUUAAAAAAUAAUUUUUGAUUUUUUUAAUAUUAUUUUAAAACUUGUUUGAUUAAACUUUUUUGUAGUUUUUUUCAAUACCCGCAAGUGUGCCUGUGUCCACAAAUCAACCAUGUUUGAUAAAACAAAUAACCCUCUUUAAGAAAAUAGUUUAAAUUCAUGUGCAUAUUAAAAGUGAGAAUGAGAACUUCUUUGGGUUAUUUCUGUUUUUUGCUUUUUAAAGCACUUGUUUAGAAAAUAAUUUUCAAGACUUGAUAGAUUUUGAUUAAGAAAUUAGGCAUGAAAUUGCUAUGAAGGACAGACUCUGAAAUGUACACGGACACUUGGACAUGGCCAAUGUCCAAAAUAUAGGACACGGGACAACGCGAACACAAUACACACAUAAACAAAGAUUCUAAUUAAAUGAAAUAUGAGUAACAUAUAACAAAAUAUCUAAAUUGAUGGUACAUUUAUCUUUUUAAACCAACUUUUUUUUUCAAUUUUUUAGUUGUGGAAAAGUGACAACUUAAGUGUUCUAGUUAACAAAAAUAAUUUUUAAGUUAGACACCUAAUAAGAAGCGUUGAACAAGUGUUCAGGUGUGUCGAUGUUGAAAACACGUCCCACAAGGCGAUACUUUGAAUAGAGGUGUCUGUGCUUCAUAGUGAAAUUGUUUUAGAAAACUGUUUUAAAAACUAAAAAGUUGAAAGAGAAUCAGAUUUCGGCUUUAGUGAUUGUUUGUGUUGCUUUUUUUGUUGGUUCAGAUUGGUUCGCACCAGUUUAAAGUAAGCAACCGAGACAGCAUUUUCACUGAAAGAUUGAAGUUUUGUGAAGUGAAUGACAAGGUGAAUGUCUCUUUUACUAGAAGAUCCUAACUCUUGUAUGUGCUAACAUGUGCAACAAUUGUUAAAGUACAGUUGCUUCUUACCAUUUUGAUAGUUCUACAAACUACUUUGUUUGCCCUAGUUGUUUGUGUGAUUGGAAUAUGUUUUAUAAGUGUGUCAGCAAUCUUAAUAAAUAAUAAUCAAUGGCUUGUUUUCUUUGUACUAAUUAUUUGCUAUUUUCUUUGUUAUGGAAUCUUUCAUGCCAGUUAAUUGAAUAUUUCAUUGCAUUUUUGCCCAUUGCAGUUGAUUCUGAACAAAGUUCUAUUGCUUGGCUCUGCUAGUCAGACAAUUAUCGGCAGACCUAUAGUACCAGAUGCAGCUGUUCAUGCUGUUGUUGAGGAGCAUGUAAGUGUAGAACUUCCCAUUUAAAUUGUGUAGAAUCAACUUUUUUUAUGAUGGGAGUAGGAAUAGCAUAGGCUUGGAUAGAAUGAUCUGCUCUCUCAGUCUUUACUGUUCCAUUCAAGACUUUUUUUAUGGUGGGAGUUGCAUCUAUGUUCCAUUUACUGUUUUUUCUAUUCAUUCAUUUGCAUUCAUAAUGAAAAAAGGAAUUAAAUUGCCAAUUGUGACUAAAUGACAUAAUCUCCUCUGGUUUUCAAAAUUAAAAAAGAAUCAUAUAUUUUGCAUUUGUGUUAUAAGGAGGGUCUCUUAGGAGCUGUUUGUUUGGUCCACUUCCUCUUUUCAUUUUCAAAGAAAAUUGAAAAUACAGUUGAAAAUGUUUCGUUGAACUUAAAAAACAUUUUUUAGAAAAUCUUGCUGAAAUUAAGCCCAAAUCUGAAAACAAAAAAUAAUAAUUUUGAGUGUUUUCCUAUCAUGCUACAAUUUGACAUCUCAAUGGCUUUUGAGUUCUGAAUGCUGCUGGUACCUCUCCACCUAUGUUGCAACACUCUCCUUCGCCACUCACCAUUUGCUCAAAGUUUACAAAUUCUCAACCAAACUAGAUCCAAGUCUCUGACUCUAUUGCCAUUUUGUCCUAAUGCCAUUUUGAUCCAUCGCACCCAUCCUUGUGAUUUGGUUUUUGAAAUAGUAGAAUAAUGGUGCUCAUAAUGAUUUCCUUUUAUCAUGGUCUGUGUGUGCUGCCCCUCUUUCCUGCUGGCUACAUUGCCUGUUCCUCUGAACUGUAUCCAUGCAUUAUAAUUGUCCUAUUUCUAAUAGCUUUAGAUUUCCAUGUGAUGCAAUAAUGAAAAUUUUCUGGUUUUUCUAACCACUGUAUAUUUGAUUUCUUUCCAUACACUUGCAUGUGUGCUCAUUUUCCCUUUAUACCAGGCACUUGAUGCAAAGGUAAUUAUUUUUAAGAAAAAGAGAAGAAAAAAUUACCGAAGAACCAAAGGACAUCGUCAGGUGUGUUGGAAAUCAAUUAUUUUAUCACGUAAAGUUUGAUAUCAUUUAUUUGAUGCUAAUUCUACUUGAUGCAUGGUUAUCAUCUUCAGGAGUUGACUAAGUUAAGGAUAACUGAUAUUCAAGGAAUUGAGAAACCUCAAAAUGUAUUGCCUGAAAAACCUCCAAAACCUGCUAAGAAAGAAAAGGAAAAAGUUGCAGUUACAGCUUAAAAAGGAUGUACCUACCCCCUUGGGUGUUGAUGGUUAUUGCUAUCUUUUUGUCUCAGUGAGUUUUGAUAGUUGGAUGGCAUGUAGGAGCAUGGUGGUAUUGCUGGUGAUAGUCAAAACCAUCCACUCAGUAGUAGGGUUUUGUAGAAUUGUUACACAAAUUUUCUUUUCCCUCUGUAAUGCUAUAACUAGUGAUUCGACGUUUGAAACGUAGAUCCAUUGAUUCUUAAAUUGGUUUCAAGAAAUUUAAUAAUGACUCCUGUACUAUUUUGUUAGUCAAAAACAUGAUACUAAACAAUGCUUUUUACCAAUUUCUGACAAACAAAAAAAUUCAAACUUUGACAUUAUCAUCCUGUGCUUCGAAAAGCAAAGGUUCUGGAGAAAAAGGAUUCUGACAUGAACUAUAGAGUGCCGUCUAAAGAUGCAAAUGAGUUGAAAAAACUUGAAUGCCAAAAGCUCAAGCUUGGCCUGUGAAAAGAAUUAUGGCUCUCAGGAUUUAUUUAAGCUGGAGCUUGGUUUGUUAGAAAAAUAUAAAGUUUGUACUUAAUAACUUGUUAGGCUAAAAAAUAUAGUAAUAAAUAGAAUAUUUAACAUAGGAAAUAUGUAGUGAUGAUUUAUGAAAUUAACAUUUUUUUAACAUUAUAUAUUCACUCAUUAUUUACCAGUUUUUAAUGUCAAGUUUGAGGUUUUUUUUAGCUUAUCGAAUACUUAACAAGUUGGGUUUAAAUAAUUUAAAAGUGCAUUUAUACUUUUACGGGAAAUUAUGUCUUUAUCUAUAUUGAUAUUAGAGAAUUUGAUUAUUUAUAUAAUUGAGUUUAUAAUUAAGUUUGAAAUUAAUAUUAUAUUAAAACAAAUGAACUAGGUCAACAUUUAGCAAAUUGUGUUCAAAUACUUAACAAUAUCUCAGGUCAUUUACACUAUAUUGACUUAAAUGCAGUGUCUGAAUGUGUCACUAUUGUGGAAAUCUCUUCCUAUUUCUUAAAAGUUGAAAAACUCUAUUAGGAUUUUUAGGCCCAGAAAGCUUAAAUAAAGUGGCAUCAUUUCGAGAUUUCUUGAAACUAAGAUCAAGUUCCAUCCAUGUCGACUUUUCCAGGACUUUUCUCAUCUUCCCACAGUGGGGGACAUAUGGUUUGUAAUAUUGCAUCAUGAAUACAAGAGAAAUUUCUGAUUUAGUUAUUAUUACCCUUUAACAAAGUUUCUCAAAAAACACAAAAUAAAAUAAAUUAAGGUAGUAAAAUGAAUCAAUGUUUUUGCACAGUUUAACUUCUUUAAAACUCUUACCUAAAUUAUUCAUAAAUACUUACAAAUUUAAUAGAUUAACAUUUUGCUAGUGACAGAUUUUUAUGAUAAAAAACCGUCCAUAAGCUAGAAUACAAUAAUCUAACUCUUUGAGGUGGUAAAGAAGAAAAACAACAACACAAUCUAUUUUAUGAACGAUGAAUCUGGUAUUAGGAUAAUACUCUUUCCAGAGGCUAUAAAUGAAUUGGUGGGUCUUGAGAUAUCUCUUUCAUUGAUAGCCACCCCUAUAUGAAAAAUAAAAAAGAUCAGACUUGUCAAUUGUCAUUGUCAAAUGUCCAUUCGAUUUUAUAUCCAAACUUGGGACUAUUACUCAACUUUGGAUAGAGAUAGAGACAAUGACUGAGUUUUACGUUAAUUUCCACAGUUUACUAUGGACAACAACAUCAGGAUUCAAGUUCAA